CUGCAGAUAAUAUACUAUCGAAGGGAGGAACAGAAAAAGGUAGGUGCAUUGGCCCUCCUUGGAAUAUAUACGUCUUGACUGUACAUAAAUUUGAAGGUCAAUAAUGUCGAAUAGGAAACUAAAAUCACAACCUAUGAGUGCGAUGUUCACCAUCAUGGUGUACUCUCUUAAUACCUGACGUGUAAAACAGGAAAUUGAUGGCCCCUUGCAAAUUUUGAAUAUUUAGAUCAUUUAUAUUACUUAUUUAUCUUUGUGUGUCUCUAUGCAUGCCAAACACAUCAGAAAUGCAGUUGAAGGCAUUUCUUUCAAAUGAUCAAAAUGACAGUCAAAUAUGGGCUGUGAGGAUUGUCAUGCUCUCACAAAUGCGACAUACAUAAUAUCAGAAACAUGGACAGCUACUGAAACUGAAAACCUAAGAGACAGUAGCUUCAAAAACUAGUCCUACAUGAUGAAGAAAUCUACACCAAAAGAACUGCAAGUACACAGGAAACAGCAUGUGAGCUCCGCAUCCUACCUCGUACUUAAAGAGAUGCAAUUUGUAAAGAAAGAAUAAAGUGCUUCAAUUUUUUAGAAUCACGACCAUCCUGUUGAGCAGAGAAAUUAAAGAACUCAUAGGGAAUCGACGUGAAAACGAAGUGCCGGUUGUCAACUACCUGACGCCCUCCCCCUCCUCCUUUAUCCGGGCUUGGGACCGGCAGCGUAAGAUAAACUUACACAGGCGGAGUUAGAAAAUCAAAGAACAGUAAAAAGAAAAUCAGUUAUGGACAAGAUGUCAAGACCAAUAGAACUGUAAAAGCAAAACAGUCCAAAACCACAACUGAGGACAACAGCGAGAAACUUGCAUUGCUGGUCCAAAACAGAAAGUGACACAUCUAAUAUAGACUAAGGUAUGAAUACUAAAAAUUAAAGAGAGAAAACUUACAUUCCACAAAAAAUCCAUAAAAACAGUGGCAAGAAACAUGAUAAUUGUCCUUAUCGUCAACAAAACUAUCAACACGUUCACAAACUGACACAGAACACUUAACACACCAUGUUACCAUCAAAAUUCAAGCACAAUACACAGAACAUGCACACGCUCACAAGCCACUUAUGCAGAGGGAGUAAUUCAAAGGAAAAGAAAACAUUAAUUUGGUUUUCAAAUUUAGUAUAGUAAUUAAAAUCAUCAACCUUGAAACCUUCUGUCAAUAAAAAUAAAAAGAAAGUAAGAAACUUGGGUGGAAAAGGAAUGUAUUAUAAAGCAUUCAGUGCAUUAAAAUUGGAAACGAUCCUAGAAGCUCAUACAUAGACAUGACUGGGGGAAACGCAGUAGAGACCUGAGGUGCGGCAAAAUGAAAGGCAGGCAAUGGAUCAGUACGGCAGAGAAGAAGGCCCAGGUAAACACCUAUACCAAAUUUCUUAAUUAACUAAUGAACCAAAAGAAAUCAAAGCAUAUAUACUAAGAACGGAAAUAAAAUAUAUCCUGAUCAUAACUGUGCUUCUAUAUGCACGCCAUGGAAAUUAGACAGCUGCUGUCACCUCUAAGUCCCUCUAUUGAUCAUUCACAGAAUCGCUCAUCCACAAACAGUCUGUCCAGUAAUUAAACCCGUCUAACGGUUGGCUGAAUUCAUCAAUUUGAGGCCACUCCUGGGGCAAUUUACCUUCAAGCGUUGUCAAACAUUCUUUAAUGUCUCCACGCACUGCUUCACCAUCUAAAAGAUAUUCCUCGCCGCCCAAGAAUACCGGAGAAGAAGGAACAUCACUCAUCAGUGGCACAUAUUCAUGAUCUGAAAUAUGAGUGCGAAUGGGCAUCACAUUUCCGUUAAUGUAGCUUAUGCACCCCAGGUCGUGAUUGCUAGUCUCGCCGUCCAAGCAUAUGGGAUAAGAAGGAACAUCACUCAUCAAUAUCACACUAUCCUGAUCAGAGAAAUCAGUCGGCUUCGCAUUGCCGUUAAUGUUGGUUAUGCACUCCUGAUCCUGAUACCUAGUGUCAGUAAUCAUAUUGCUUUCAGUUCCAACAAAAGGCACAACAGCAGGGGUAUUGGUGAUCACAUUCACAUUUGAAUGUUUUUGUGAACCCGGUUCUUUUCUUGCUCUCUUUCUCUUAAUCAGAGGCUUCUCAUUCGAUACUUCUUUUCUUGCCCUCUUAAUCGGUGGCUUCUCAUUGAAGUCGUGAGUUGGACUUGAGGAAUUCAUCUUGUUUCCGCACCUAGACCUCAGAUUCCUUUUAAGUCGGGAAAGAACGACCUUUGGGCCAGCAACUACAUUAGGAAGAAGACUGUACUCUUCUAACAGCCAGCCGCCAUUGUUGUUAGAACCCUUGUUGUUAUACCUGAAAUGCCCUUUAUCCCCGAUUGGAAUUCCGUCCAAACCUAAAACUUUGUCGGAGGAUGUUUAGCUCCAAGUGCCUCCGGCUUCGAUCUGGCGUUUGCUGCGGCUAUCGCUGUUGCUUCUAGAACGCAGCUCAUAGAAGAAGAACCAGUCCUGAUCGAGUAGGGAAUUUCCACCGAAUUGCUCCCAAACCACCCAGGGUGGUGUUUGUCCAAAGAGAUUGAACUCGUGAACAAACGGGUUGCCCAAGGGCUUUCCGGAGAGGUCUCUAUCGCGAAGAUAGGAACUGACCAAUUCUUGAUCAGUAGGAUGAAACCGAAAACCCAAUGGCAUACCGUAAUAACCCACCUCCAUUGUUAAACGCGAUUUCAAUUCAAUGCAAUUCAACACGAAACAAAUGCAGCAGCAAAAACCCUAAAUUUUUCUUGGGCACAAAAUAAAGAAGAGAAAAUAAGCGAGAAAUUAAAGAGAAGAAAAAGGGAUACCUGGAAGCCGAUUUCGCUCGCUCGCCGAGGAGAGCAGCUCGUCGACGUCUCCUCAACCGCCGUCUUCGUCCCCAUACAAGAGCAACUGAAGAGGAAUCGAUUUCAAGUAUUCUGUAAUUCAAUUCAACCGGAGACUGCUGGAGCACUGAAUUCUAAUUCUGGUUCAAAUUCGAACGCGCAGAGAGAGCGAGAGAGAGAACGCACAGAGAGAGCGAGAGAGAAAGAUCUUGAGAGAGAGAUCUAGUGAGAGAGAGAGAGAGAGAGAGAGAGGAUUUGAAAUUUAAAUGGAAGAAAUUAUGACCGUUUGAUUUGGGAAUUGGAUGUUAACGUUGCAAACUUGCAGGCUCACCGCUUAAGCGCGGGUUUUAAUCACGUGGAAUUUUCAUAUCUACGAAACCCUAAAAUAACACAGGAAAAAAAAAAUCGAUUGGGCUGGGUUUCCUUUUUUACUUCUUGGCCCAUUUUUUUUCCUGCUGGGUCCAGUUCUUUUGCUUAUCGAAUGAGGAUCCUCUUUGGAUUCUCUUUGUGAGGAUGUUGGGGAUCCUCAAAUAGUGUCCGUUCAUCGUACAUCAUACGGUCAGUUUUUGUCAGAUAUUAUUCAUAUUUAAUUUGAAAUAAAAUUAUUUAAAAUAAUUUAUGGCCGUACGAUAUACGAUGAACGGACAUGAUUUAUGGAUCCUCAGGAUCCACACUCUUAGUUAUCAGGCAUUUUAUUGUCAAUUUUUUUAGAUUUUUAUAUUAGAUUAAUGAACCCAAACAUUUAAGGGUGAAUGUUGGAUUGAAAGGUUCGGUUUCAACACGAAAAAGAUUUAUUUCUUAUUUUUAUUCACAUCGAUGCACUAGGGUCAUAGAAAUUGCUCAACAUGGAUAUGUUUUGCAAUAGGAAAUCGUGACUAUGACUUAGACAUGGGAAAUCAUAGGAAAUCACGAUUUUUUUAAUUUCCUAUGUCCAAGCCACAAUCACGAUUUCCUAUGAUUGACACGAUAAGCCAUAAUCACGAUGUUCACAUAGCGUUGCAUAUUCAUUUUUCAUAGGAGUAACAAGAUUUUCUCCCAACUCUAAUACACCUUUAUGUUCUUCCUGUCCAAAAUUAUGUUGGAGAAGAUUUCAUAAGAAACACGUCCUGAAUCAGUCAUUAGCAGAUUGAUUAUUCAUGAAACGAAACGUAGAGGUCGAAACAAACAGUGAUAAACUGAGUACUACUGUUUGCGACACGACAACGUCUGAAAAUUGAAACGAAGACUCAAAGUGUGCUGAAAGAAAUGACGAAAACAAAAGUAAGUGCAAUUGGAAGUAUUGGGAACUUCAUGAAUGUACAUUGUCUACAGAUUUCCUGAAGAUUGACAAAAGUACAAAGUAAGACCACCAGCUAGACGAAAUAACAGACUAAAAACUAUUCUAUUCACAACAACAAUAACAACAACAAAACCUUUUCCUACUAAGUGGGGUCGGCUAUGAAUCCUAAAACGUCAUUGCGCUCAAUUCUGUAUCACAUCUUCCGUGAAAUAAAAAGACUGAAAACUAAUAAACUAAGUAUGAUUAAACCGGAAGUCGGAAAGAAAAAGUUGAAAGGUAACCGUGCUCAUCUAAAUUAUUGAACUGUACUAGUGGUAUAAAAACAAGAGCUGACACUAAUAGCUUGAAACUUGAUUCACACAAGGCGUGUAUACUCCGGGUAAAGUCCUCUUCCUCCUGCUCCGCUUCUAGAUGAUGAUGAUGAUGGUGAGCAAGCAAAUCAAGAGAAAAUGGAGAACCGAGGCCCAUGCAUUCAAUUUUUAAUAAUUAUUUUGUCCAUGCAUUCAAUUUUUUUAUAAUUUUUUAUUGUGUUGUGCGCCAGAAACCAUGUAGCCUGAUUUAAGUCAUAUUUUUUAAAUAAAUUUUUGUUAGUUUUUUAAUUAAUUAUUUUAUCUUUCUUUGUGCCACAACUCGACGGUCAUAGACACACAACAUGGGCAAUACAGGUAUUUUACUGUGUGAAGCAGGCAGCAAAACGGUAAUGGAACGAAAAAAUCAGGGGCAUUUUCGCCCUUUUACUAUUUCAUAUUAAGAUACAUGAAUGAUUUAAUAAUAUAUAUUUAUAUGGGAUGUAUUUAACAAUAUGUAGGUACUAAUAAAAAAACCUUUACCAUUACCAUCGUCAAUCUUCAAACAUAGUUCUGUGGUCCAAUUAGAGUUCCAUGUUUACUAUUCUACAAAUCAGGACAUGGAGUUAGCGUGGUCAUAUUGAAGACUAAUAAUAUUCAAAAAUUCCAAUCGUCAACUCCACGCUUGUCGGGAAGACUAAUAAUGUUCUCUAGAGAUGACUUGAGGGUUAUGCUCAAGAGAAUGAAUAUGAUGCUGGCUUUGAUGGAAAUUAAAAUUAAAACUAUCAAACUCUUGUUCCAAGGCUCUAAUUAAUUUUUCAUGAUCUAACCUCAUGCUUGGCUGCUUUAUCUGGAUAUUCCAAAAAUUAUCUAAGAGAACCUGUUGCCUAUCAGAAAACCCUGGUGCUCUUAACCUAUAUCUCAGGAUUGGAUUUCUAAUUCCUUCAACAAUAUUGCCAUUAAAGUUGAAAGUAGGUACUGGUGGUGAUCCUGGUCUGCUUAUGCUACUUUGAAAUCCACUGAAUGGUGGAGGUUGAUGGUGCAUCAUUAUGCUAUUGAAAGAAGCUCUUCUGCCUUGCGGCCUUGUGUUAUUUGCUGAUGAUGAUUCACGAUAUUUCAUACAUGUUCAACAAAUUAAUCCACUGAAUGAUGGAGGUUGAUGGUGCAUCAUUAUGCUUGUGAUAUUUAUUUCUAGGAAACAAAUAGAAAACGAAGAGCGGAAAGGAUGACGAUGACGCAGAACCUACCUCUUCCUUCUUCAAUCUGUGUGUGGUUUCCUUUCACUAAAUCUCACACCCACCGACAACAACCCAUCUCAAUCUGAUCCAAACACCAAUGCCAACCAACCACUGCCAUACUUUAAAAAUGAAUAAAAUACCCACCCCUUGGAUUUGAUUGGAAAAUAGGCAAUAGAGUAAUUUGCCCGUGUUAAACCCAAGCCCAGCUUACACCCCACAACCCACUUCGGCAAAAUAUGACAAUACAAAAAUCCAAAUGACACAGGAUUUAUACUGGUUCGGCGUAAGCCUACGUCCAGUUCCGAGACGGCGAGAAAAUUCCACUAAUAUCAAAAGGAGAUUACAAAUUGAUGUUUUAACUCUCAAACCCAAAGCCCACAUACACCCAAUAGCUCUCACUCUCACAAAGAAACAAAUGGAGAAGAUAGAAACAUAUACCAAAUUCCUCCUCUCCCAAAAGCCACAAAAUGUAGCACAAAUAUCUUUGAUUGAGUGAUCACUAACAAAGGGGGAUUACAAACAAAUGGGAAGGAGCAGCACUGUUUCAAAUGGGAGAGUCGAAUGCUCUCUCCUCUGCUCUACUUGCUCUCUUCAGAAAAUGAGUUCACACCUUUCCUUUAAAUAAAAAUCAGCCCCUUUUCUUCUCCUCCUUUCUUCCAGCCGAAAACCAACUAAUUAUGGCUUUGAAAAAACCACAAAACACGGAACAAAACAAGCCACAAAACAAGGAACAAAACAAGCCACAAAACAAGGAAACAUAAUCCUCAUCAUGAUGUUCCCUCAUCAAUUUUCUUUCAUUCUUUUGUUUUGUUUCCUAGCCUAAUUUGGCCACUAUCCAACAUAUGGAACUACACGUCGAAGUAGAUUUGAUCUUCCAGGCAUUCUUAAACUUUUCCGCUAUGUCGAAUAUAGGUUUGUGCCUUUCCUCUCUAAAUCUGCAACAGCCAGAACUGCUUUCACAUUCACACUACAGCACAAUAGAAGACACUUCGACACGACAAUCUGUUAAAUUAGCAAAUGGGGAAGUGGUGGAAUAACACCGUAGUAUUGUGAGCAAGUCUCGGGUGUCAAGGCCACGGGGGACGUCCCUGUGGCUUUUCAACAAAUUAACCAAACAAUGUUGUAAAAACUGACUUUGAGAGUGAGGAACAGUAAAAGGUAGGUGCUUUGGCCCUCCUCCACGCAUCAUAUACCGACGAAAAGAGUACAUGUUGUCUAUAGAUUUCCUCAGGAUUGACAAAAAUACAGAAGAAAACCACCAGCUAGACAAAAUUGACACAAGUCCUCGGCCUGCUCCGCUUCAAGAUCAUGACGAUGAUAAUGAUGAUGGUGAUGAGCAGUUGUCAUCAGGUGCAGCAGGUUGUUGUGCAUGAUCUUGGUUAGGGUACUCACUACGCAUCAUCUCUCCUCCAAUAUGAUCAAAGAUAUUCGCAAUCAAGUCCUCAUAAUCAUCUCAUUCAACUGUUGUUCUUUGCCCCGUCUCGAUCUCAUCUGCAACAGAGGCCGCAGCAGCAGCAGCAGGAUCAGACAGGAGAUCAAACUCUCCCAUCAAGGCUUCCAAAUUGAAUCUCAAAAGAUCAUCAUCAUCUUUUCUCUCACUGCCUCUCUAUCUGACCCUGCAGUGCAGCAGGGCAGACGCCUAACAAACUGCAAAACCACAAUCAACACUUUGAAGAACUCUUCAAAAUGAGAUAAUUUUAAUACAGUCCACCACUUCAAACCAAAAAGUGCAUACAUAGACAAGAUGAAACAACAAAUAUGCCACAAAUUGAAGCAUGAAAAGGCAAGCAUACCUUGCCUGCAGAUGAUAUACUAUCGAAGGGAGGAACAGCCCUCCUUGCAAUAUAUACUUCUUGACUUUACAUAAAUUUGAAGGUCAAUAUUGUAGAAUAACAAACAAGAGUAUAAAGCAUAGAAGGAAGCGUUGUUCAAUUCGACAAGGUAAGACUUUUCUGAAAUCUAAAAUCACGACCAUCAUCGUGCACUAUCUUAAUACCUGACGUGGAAAACAGGAAAUUGAUGACCCUUUGCAAAUUUUGAAUAAUUUGAUAAUUUAUAUUACUUAUUCAUCUUAGUGUGUCUCUAUGCAUGUCAAACGAUAACAAACAUCAGAAAUGCAGUUGAAGGCAUUUCUUUCAAAUGAUCAAAAUGACAGUCAAAUAUGGGCUGUGAGGAUUGUCAUGCUCUCACAAAUGCGACAUACAUAAUAUCAGAAACAUCAACAGCUACUGAAACUGAAAACCUAAGAGACAGUAGCUUCAAAAACUAGUCCUACAUGAUGAAGAAAUCCACACCAAAAGAAAGUACACAGGAAACAGCAUGUGAGCUCUGCAUCCUACCUCGUACUUAAAGAGAUGCAAUUUGUAAAGAAAGAAUAAAGUGCUUCAAUUUUUUAGAAUCACGACCAUCCCGUUGAGCAGAGAAAUUAAAGAACUAAUAGGGAAUCGACGUGAAAACGAAGUACUGGUUGUCGACUACCUGACGCCCUCCCCCUCCUCCUUUAUCCGGGCUUGGGACCGGUAGCGUAAGAUAAACUUACACGGGCGGAGUUAGAAAAUCAAAGAACUGUAAAAAGAAAAUCAGUUAUGGACAAGAUGUCAAGACCAAUAGAACUGUAAAAGCAAAACAGUCCAAAAACACAACUGAGGACAACAGCGAGAAACUUGCAUUGCUGGUCCAAAACAGAACUGACACAUCUAAUAUAGACUAAGGUAUGAAUACUAAAAAAUAAAGAGAGAAAACUUACAUUCCACAAAAAAUCCAUAAAAACAGUGGCAAGAAACAUGAUAAUUGUCCUUAUCAUCAACAAAACUAUCAACACGUUCACAAACUGACACUGAACACUUACACACCAUGUUACCAUCAAAAUUCAAGCACAAUACACAGAACCUGCACACGCUCACAAGCCACACAUGCAGAGGGAGUAAUUCAAAGGAAAAGAAAACAUUAAUUUGGUUUUCAAAUUUAGUAUAGUAAUUAAAAUCAUCAACCUUGAAACCUUCUGUCAAUUAAAAUAAAAAGAAAGUAAGAAACUUGGGUCGAAAAGAAAUGAAUUAUAAAGCAUUCAGUGCAUUAAAAUUGGAAACGAUCCUAGAAGCACAUGCAUACAGAUGACUAGGGGAAACGCAGUAGAGACCUGAGGUGCAGCAAAAUGAAAGGCAGGCAAUGGAUCAGACCUAUACCAAAUUUCUUAAUUAACUAAUGAACCAAAAGAAAUCAAAGCAUAUAUACUAAGAAUGGAAAUAAAAUAUAUCCUGAUCAUAACUGUGCUUCUAUAUGCACGCCAUGGAAAUUAGACAGCUGCCAUCACGUAUACAUCCCUCUAUUGAUCAUUCACAGAAUCGCUCAUCCACAAACAGUCUGUCCAGUAAUUGAACCCGUCUAACGGUUGGCUGAAUUCGUCAAUUUGAGGCCACUCCCGGGGCAAUUUACCUUCAAGCGUUGUCAACCAUUCUUUAAUGUCUCCACGCACUGCUUCACCAUCUAAAGGAUAUUCCUCGCCGCCCAAGAAUACCGGAGAAGAAGGAACAUCACUCAUCAGUGGCACAUAUUCAUGACCUGAAAUAUGAGUGGGAAUGGGCAUCACAUUUCCGUUAAUGUAGCUUAUGCACCCCUGGUCGUGAUUGGUAGUGUCGCCGUCCAAGCAUAUGGGAUAAGAAGGAACAUCACUCAUCAAUAUCACACUAUCCUGAUCAGAGAAAUCAGUCGGCUUUGCAUUGCCGUUAAUGUUGGUUAUGCACUCCUGAUCCCAAUACCUAGUGUCAGUAAUCAUAUUGCUUUCAGUUCCAACAAAAGGCACAACAGCAGGGGUAUUGGUGAUCACAUUCACAUUAGAAUGUUUUUGUGAACCCGGUUCUUUUCUUGCUCUCUUUCUCUUAAUCAGCAGCUUCUCAUUCGAUACUUCUUUUAUUGCCCUCUUAAUCGGUGGCUUCUCAUUGAAGUCAUGAGUUGGACUUGAGGAAUUCAUCUUGUUUCCGCACCUAGACCUCGGAUUCCUUUUAAGUCGCGAAAGAACGACCUUUGGGGCCAGCAACCACACAUUAGGAAGAAGACUGUACUCUUCUAACAGCCAGCCGCCAUUGUUGUUAGAACCCUUGUUGUUAUACCUGAAAUGCCUUUUAUCCCCGAUUGGAAUUCCGUCCAAACCUAAAACUUUGUCGGAGGAUGUUUCGCUCCAAGUGCCUCCGGCUUCGAUCUGGCGUUUGCUGCGGCUAUCGCUGUCGCUUCUAGAACGCAGCUCAUAGAAGAAGAACAAGUCCUGAUCGAGUAGGGAAUUUCCACCGAAUUGCUCCCAAACCACCCAGGGUGGUGUUUGUCCAAAGAGAUUGAACUCGUGAACAAACGGGUUGCCUAAGGGCUUUCCGGAGAGGGCUCUAUCGCGAAGAUAGGAACUGACCAAUUCUUGAUCAGUAGGAUGAAACCGAAAACCCAAUGGCAUACCGUAAUAACCCACCUCCAUUGUUAAACGCGAUUUCAAUUCAAUGCAAUUCAAAACAAAACAAAUGCAGCAGCAAAAACCCUAAAUUUUUCUUGGGCACAAAAUAAAGAAGAGAAAAUAAGCGAGAAAUUAAAGAUAAGAAAAAGGGAAACCUGGAAGCCAAUUUCGCUCGCUCGCCGAGGAGAGCAGCUCGUCGACGUCUCCUCAAUCGCCGUCUUCGUCCCCAAACAAGAGCAACUGAAGAGGAAUCGAUUUCGAGUAUUCUGUAAUUCAAUUCAACCGGAGACUGUUGGAGCACUGAAUUCUAGUUCUGGUUCAAAUUCGAACGCGCAGAGAGAGCGAGAGAGAGAACGCAGAGAGAGCGAGAGAGAAAGAUCUUGAGAGAGAGAUCUAGAGAGAGAGAGGAUUUGAAAUUUAAACGGAAGAAAAUAUGACCGUUUGGUUUGGGAAUUGGAUGUUAACGUCGCAAACUUGCAAGGCUCACCGCUUAAGCGCGGGAUUACGUGGCAUUUUCAUAUCUACGAAACCCUAAAUCCCCAAAUUGUGGAAUCUGGAUUCUCGCCAGAUUCUUUUUAUGAGGAUCCAGAAAAUUCAUGAAUCAUAUCGAUUUAUUGUACAUCGUGUGGUCAAAAAUUAUUUUAAAUAUUUUUAUUUAAAAUUAAACAAACAGUACUUGACAAAAACUGACUGUAUAAUAUAAGAUAAACGAACAUAAUUUACGGAUCCUCAGUAUCCUUACCAAAAUGAUCCGGAGAGGAUCCUGUUGGCAAAUUGUGAGCCAAAUGACUAGAAUAACGCAGGAAAAAAAAAAGAAUUUCGAUUGGGCUGGGUUCCCUUUUUUACUUCUUGGCCUAUUUUUUAUUCAGCUGGGUUCUUUUGGUUUUCCGGCAUUCUAUUGGCAAUUUUUUUUUAGAUUUUUAUAUUAGAUUAAUGAACCCAAACAUUUAAGGGUGAAUGUUGGAUUGAAAGUUUCGAUUUCGACAUGAAAAAGAUUUGUUUCGUAUUUUUAUUAACAUAGCAUUGCAUGAUUGACACGAGAAGUCAUAGUCACGAUGUACUAAUGUCAUAAAAAUUGCUCAAUAUGGAUAUAUUUCGCAAUAGGAAAUCGUGACUAUGACUUAAACAUAAGAAAUCAUAGGAAAUCACGAUUUUUUUUAUUUCCUAUGUCUAACCUACAGUCACGAAUUCCUAUGAUUGACACAAGAAGCCAUAAUCACAAUGUUCACAUGGCGCUGCAUAUACAUUUUUCAUAGAAGUGACAAGAUUUUCUCCCAACUCUAAUGCACCUUUAUGUUCUUCCUAUCCAAAACUAUGUUGGAGAAGAUUUCAUAAGAAACACGUCCAGAAUCCGUCAUUACCAGAUUGAUUAUUCAUGAAACGAAAUGUAGAGGUCGAAACAAACAGUGAAAAACUGAGUACUACUGUUCGCUACGACAACAAUGUCUGAAAAUUGAAACAAAAACUCAAAGUGUGCUGAAAGAAAUGACAAGAACAAAAGUAAGUGCAAUCAAAAGUAUUGGGAACUUCAUGUAUAUUCAUAUGUAUAUUGUCUACAGAUUUCCUCAAGAUUGACAAAAGUACAGAGUAAGACCACCAGCUAGACGAAAUAACAAACUGAAAACUAUUCUAUCCACAACAACAACAAAGCAUUUUCCCACUAAGUGGGGUCGGCUAUAUGAAUCCUAGAAUGUCAUUGCGCUCGGUUCUGUAUCACGUCUUCCGUGUAAAUAAAAAGACCGAAAACUAAUAAACUAACUAUGAUUAAACCGGAAGUCGGAAAAAAAAAAGCUGAAAGGUAACCGUGCUCAUCUGAAUUCUUGAACUCUACAAGUAGUAUAAAAACAAGAGCUGACGCUAAUAGCUUGACAACUUGAUUCACGAAAGGCGUGUAUACUCCGUGUAAAGUCCUCUUCCUCCUGCUCCGCUUCUAGAUGAUGAUGAUGGUGAGCAAGCAAAUCAAGAGAAAACGGAGAACCGAGGCCCGUGGCCUUCCUAUGUUUCCAACCACAACUGGCAAAAUAAUGAUUUGAACAGGAGGGAACGGGAUGAUGGUGAUGAGCAGAGUAGUGUGAUCAGGUUCAGUAGCUUGAUGUACAUGAUCUUGAUUUGGGUUUUCAUCAUCCUCUCCUCCAAUAUGAUUAAAGAAUUCAGUGAUCAAGUCCUCCUCAUCAUCCAACUCUCUUUCAUCCGUGGUUCUUGGCCCCUCCUCAAUCUCGUGAUGAUGAUGACCGAGAUGAGUAGUUAGCCGAGGCACAACUGCAGCCUCGUCUGCAGCAGAGGCCGCAACAGCAGAAUCAGGCAGAAGCUCAAACUCGUCAAUUAAGGAUCCUAACAGAUCAUCAUCCCAGCUAUCAUAUGCUUCGGUGGUGCUGCUUGAGGACCCCUCGUGAUGAAGUAGAUCAUCAAGCUCCCUAAUCGAGUCCUCCAUUGCCAAAAGACCAUCAUCAAAAUCAUGAGUCCUCUGCCUCUUGACCGUAUCACCCAAAACCGUAACGGCAUCAUCGGAAUCGGAAUCGGAAUCAGGGAAACGCGGACGCUUGAGAGAAGAGACAGUGGGCCUCAAAUCUUGACCCCCCCAUCUCCAAUUUCUUCACGAAACGCAACACAAACAGACGAAAGCGGUGUGCUUUCUGCGAAAACCAAAACCCUAAGUCGGUAAUGUGGAAGACGAAAAAGCAACACUUUCCAAACACGAUAAGGGAUUUGGGAAUUAGGGUUUCUUGUUACAGUGCUAGACAGACAGAAAUUAAAGAUACCGAGAAAUAAAGUAGAAGAAAAGGCAAGAACUGAACCUGGAACUGGGAACAAGUCGUUGAUUUCCUUCUCAGAGAAGAGGAUGCAUUCGUCCCCAAAUUUGAAUCGAGCUUCCAAUUUCAACAACUAGAGAGAGAUCAAGCGACAGCGAGAGAGAGAGAGAGCAACAAAUUUGAAUUGGGCUUCAAAUUCGGACGCACACAGAGAGAACGAGCAGAGAGUGAGAGCGAGAGUGAGAGAGCACGAGCAGAGAAAGAGGGCGAUCCAGAGAUCCAGUGAGAGAGUGGGAUGGGGGUUUUGAAAUUUAAAGAGAGGAAAAUAUGACCGUUUGGGAAUUUGACCGCUUAAACGCGGGUUUCAUCACGUGCCGUUUUCUUUCUGCUCUUUGGCGCCUGCGAGUGGGAAGCCCUCCCCAACCCGGCCCAAUUGUGUUCCGAAUGACUAAAUUACCCUCGAAUUACAAAUCAUGCAGAUUCAGGAGCUCGGGGUAUUUUAGUCAAACCAAAAACUCAAAAGGAUCGCAGAAUCGUAUCACCGUCUUGGUUACUGAGUUGUUUGUUUGAUCCAGUUGUAUGUGAGAAGUGUGGCGUUUGGGAGUACUCAAUGCGAGUAAGGUGUUCUAUAAAUUUUUGAAAUCGAUAGAAGGAGAAUUUGUCCACCAUCACUCAUUUUGAAUCAUUCUGUAAAAAAUUCUAUUAAAUAUAUAUAAAAUAACAAAAACACUCUCAAUUUAAUAAACAAUGAGCCAAAAUGAUUUGAUAAAACUUAAGAAUUUUUUUAUCAUUUAACCUUAUUUAAUGAAAAUUUUACACGAAAUGAUCAAAAUGAUUGAUGAUGGAUAAAGUCAUAGACCACUUCUAUAGAUCUUAAAUCUCAAGAUUCGGAAUGAUCAGUUAUGCUAAUUUCAAUGACCAUUUCGGCUAUAAAACUAUAUAAUAGACGAUAGAAAUCAAAAGUGUCAAAUUCCUCCUCCGUAAUAUUUCCACACUCAUCUUUAUUCUCAACCCAUCAAAUUUCCUCAUCAUUAAUAUACUUUUUAGCCAUGAUUUUCUAAUAAUUUAGUCAAAACAUUUUCCGAAUAUCGAUUGGACACAUGUUUAAGGACUUUGAAACCAAAAAAUGGCCACAUUUUAAUUAGCAAAAUAUAUUUCAAAUACAAAUAGUAUAGAAUAGGGCUAGUGUCAUAUUGGAAAUCAAGCACUCACGUCGUUCACCGUUCGAAGCAGAAUUUAGAAGAACCAACAUUCUUGAUCAUAUGCUAGUUGAGCGCGAACUGCAAAAACCAAAACCAAAACCAAACAAUGACGCGAAAAGCAUCAGAUAUGCGAUGUUUUUUGUUGUGCUAGGAUAGCACCAAACCUUUUUGGAACCAACUCAAGCUAACCCACAAGAAAUAUAUCAAAUGAAAAUGCAAGAACAAAAUAUUAAAGACACCAAGAUUUAACGAGGUUCCUCAACAGUCAGUGUAACUGGAGUACGUCCUCGGAGCAGUAGGAGCUCACCUAAUAAUCCACUAUCAAUCAAAUGGGAGUUUACAAAGUGUUGGCAAUCUCACAACCCAAAUAACCCAAUACACCCAAUAGCUCUCACACACCACAUAAACAAAUAGAGAGAAAGAAAUAUAAUGAAUAAUUUCUUCUCUAUACAUGUAACUCAAAGCUAUUACAACAAUAAUUAUGAUGGAUGAUUGCUAACCAAAAAGAAGAGCACCUUCUUCUUCUUUUCUGCUCUCAGUUUUUCUGCUCUCUGCAACUCUCUCUUUGCUCUCUCAAAGAUGGGCUACUAAAACAGAAAAAUGGUGCACACUUCCUCUAUCAUUCUCACUUCCGUAUCCUCACUUCAUCAAUACAAAAACACCCAAUAAAAAACUCAAAAACAUCAUCAUGACCAUCAAUUUUUCUUUUCAACAAACAUAAUCAUGAUGCCUCCUCAUCAUGAUGUCUUUCACCUUUUUUUAUUUUGGUUUGUUUAUUAGCCGAAAGUUGUUUUGUUUUGUUGUCCACUUGGCCACUUGGCCACAAUUCAACAAUCUCCACCUUGGCCAAGUUCCGAAAAACGCCAUGAUAAGCCAACCAACACAAUUAACACACAACAUCACUCCCAAACACUAGCAAGAGAACAACUCAUGCCGAGCCAAAUGCUCCAAAACUCCUACUGCUCAACGCCUUCUUUAUAUAGGCAAAAUGUGAGCCAAGUUCAAGCAAUGAACAAACUUGGCUACACCAACAACCUUAGUCAACAUAUCAGCGGGGUUGUCUUUAGUUGGAAUCUUCUGGAGAAUGAUUUCCCCUUCACCAACAAUUUCACGAACAAAGUGAUAACGCACAUCUAUGUGCUUGGUCCUCGCAUGAUGAACCUGAUACUUAGCCAAAUAAAUGGCACUCUGACUAUCACAAUGUACCUCCACCUGCUUCUGAUCAACCCCCAAAUCUCUAAUCAGCCCAUGUAUCCAAAUGGCCUCCUUUAUAGCUUCAGCAACUGCCAUAUAUUCAGCCUCUGUAGUAGACAAGGCAACAGACGACUGCAAAAUGGACCUCCAACAAACUGGUCCUUUAGCCAUAGUAAACACAUAGCCUGUAGUAGACUUCCUUCCAUCCAGAUCACCUGCAUAAUCUGAAUCAACAUAACCAACUGCAAAAUGACCAAUACCAUAGUCAUCUCUCUCAAAGCAUAAACCAACAUCUCGAGUACCAUGGAGAUACCUCAAUAUCCACUUAGCUGCUUGCCAAUGCUCUUUACCUGGAUUAUGCAUAUAUCGACUCACCAUGCCAACUGCAUGAGCAAUAUCUGGUCUAGAGCAUGCCAUUGAAUACAUCAAACUACCAACCAAAUUUGCAUAUGGUAUAUUUUUCAUUUGCAGCUUCUCUUUAUCAGUUUUAGGACAUUGUAGAGAACUCAAUUUAAAAUGAGGAGCCAAAGGGGUACUAACCGGUUUGGUUGAAUCAUGAACUCCAAACUUUCGAAUCAACUUCUAAAGGUAUUGUCUUUGAUUCAAACUGACCAAACCCUUCUCUCUAUCUCUAGUGAUCUUCAUGCCAAGGAUCUUCUUCGCUUCACCAAGAUCCUUCAUCUCAAACUCAUUUUUCAUUUGCUUCUUCAAUUUCUCAAUCUCUUCGACAUUCUUUGAGGCAAUCAACAUAUCAUCAACAUAUAUCAACAAAUAAAUGAAAGAUCCAUCUUGCAACUUCUUGAAGUACACACAAUGAUCAUAUUGACUUCUAGAAUAAUUUUGGCCUCUCAUAAAUUUAUCAAACCUCAAAUACCAUUGCCUUGGAGAUUGCUUCAAGCCAUAUAGUGAUUUCUUCAAUUUGCAAAACAAGUUCUCCUUCCCUUUCACUAUAUACCCAUCCGGUUGACACAUAUAGCUCUCUUCAUUCAAAUCACCAUGUAGGAAAGCCGUCUUCACAUCAAGUUGCACAAGCUCAAGAUCAUACUGUGCAACAAGAGCUAACAUAAUGCGAAUUGAGGAGUGCUUCACAACCGGAGAAAAGAUUUCAUUGUAGUGAAUGCCCUCCUUUUGUGCAUACCCUUUAGCAACUAAUCUUGCUUUGAAUCUCAACAUUGCUUUUCUCAUCAGCAUCUUCUUUCUUGGCAUACACCCAUUUGCAACCGAUAGCUUUUCUUGCCCUUAGGCAAUUUAGCUAACUCCCAAGUCUUGUUCUUCAAGAGAGAAUUCAUCUCAUCACCCAUGGCAUUGCACCACCUCUUCUUCUCCUCACUCUCAAUGGCUUCCUCAAAAUUAGAUGGAAUCUCAUCAGUGAUAAUAGGAAGAGCAAAAGAAACAUAGUCACUAUACCGAGCUGGCUUGGUAAUUUGUCUCUUUCCUCUAUUCUUGGCAAUAGACUCUUGAGGUGAAACUUCCUCUUCAACUUGAAUAGAAUCUUCAAGUUCAACUUCUUCAACAUCCUCAUGGUCUCCAACUUCUUCACUUGUAGUGGCUUCGACAUCAGCGGAAAUAGGAUUUGAAGUACCAGAGGCAACUUUCUCAAGCUCCACAUGUUGGACAUCUUUCACAUUCUUCUCAGAGACUUUGUACAUACUUUCUUCAUCAAAUGUCACAUCUCUGCUGAUUACAAGUUUUUUCAUCUCUGGGCACCACAACCUGUAACCUUUGACACCACUACUAAAACCAAGAAAGAUAGCCUUUUUGGCUCUAGGAUCAAGUUUAUUUUCAGUCACAUGAAAAUAAGCAGGUAAACCAAAAAUACGGAUAUAGUCAUAGUCAGAAGAAGGUUUUCCAAUCCAUACCUCCAUUGGUGUUUUACCCUGAAUAGCAGCUGAGGGUAACCGGUUGAUGAUGUGACAUGCAUAAUUAACCGCCUCUGCCCAAAAUGACUUGCUUAAACCCGACUGAGACAACAUACAUCUAACCUUCUCAAGCAAGGUUCGAUUCAAUCUUUCUGCAACUCCAUUUUGUUGUGGAGUUCCCCGAACACUGAAAUGUCUCACAAUUCCUUCUUCUUUGCAAACUUUAAAGAAAGGGUCGGAUGUGUAUUCACCACCAUUAUCCGAUCUCAAAAUCUUAAUCUUUCUCCCAGUCUGGUUCUCAACCAUUUUUCUUCCAACCCAAGAAAAUGCUCAACACCUCACUCUUGUGCUUCAUAGUGUAAACCCAAGACCUUCUUGAAUAAUCAUCAACAAAGGUCACGAACCAAUGUCUACCACUCAAAGAGGGAGUCUUUGUAGGACCCCAAACAUCUGAAUGCACAUAAUCAAGAAUGCCCUUCGUCUGAUGUACAGCAGUACCAAACUUCACUCUAGUUUGCUUCCCCAAGACACAAUGCUCGCAGAAAUCAAGCUUACAAGUCGUGGCACCUUUUAAAAGACCUUGUUUCACAAGCCCUUGUAGAGCUUUCUCACCGGCAUGGCCUAAUCUCAUAUGCCACAGUCUAGUAGUAUCAGAAUCGGAUGUGCCCAUAUUUUCUGAGACUACAGAUGCUUCACCUGUCACAGUGCUUCCUUGCAAUAGAUACAAAUGGCCACAUCGAGAAGCUUUCAUCACAACAAGUGCACCAUAAGUAACUUUCAAUGUCUGUCCAUCUGAAUGAAACCUGAAGCCCUUGGAUUCCAAAGUACCCAAAGAAAUAAGAUUUUUCUUCAAAUUCGGUACAUAUCGAACACCUGUCAACUCUUUAACCAUGCCAUCAUGCAACUUCAAACGAACUGUACCAAUCCCUUUUGUUGUGUAAGGAUUGUCAUCUCCCAUGAACACAACGCCACCAUCAAACUCUUUCAAGCUUGAAAACCAAUCCUUGUGAGGAGUCAUAUGAUGAGUACAACCCGUAUCCAGCACCCACUUAGUAGCACAAUCAAAUGAUGAGGAAAUGGUUAAAGCAAAAUCAGAAAAAUCUGUUUCAACCUCAGCAACAUUAGCUUCAGAAUUUUCUUUGCCUUUGGUCUUCAACCUAGGACAAUCUUUCUUCCAAUGGUUCUUAUUAUGACAAAAGGCACAUUCAUCCAUUUCCAAAGUUUUUCUACCUUUAGAGUUUACUCUAGGUCGAGACUGUGAUUUUUUCCUGCUAGAAGAUGAUCUCCUCUCCGAUGAUCUACCUCUAACAAAUAAAGCUUCAGAGGUACUAUCAUGAUUUUUAUCUCCAUGCCUCAUUUCAUAAUUCAUCAAGGCAUUUGACACAUCUUCAAAUUUCACAGUUUCUUUACCAUGCAUAAUAGUGGUAACAAAAUGCUCAUAAGAGUCCGACAAGGAAUUCAACAAUAUUAAGGCCUUAUCUUCAUCCUCAAUAUCCUCAUCUAAAUUUAACAAGUCGGCAAUCAACUUAUUAAAAGCAUCAAGGUGUCUAAUCAUUUUUGUACCUUCUUUGUAUUGGAAGCGGUAGAGCUUUUUCUUCAAGUGUAGCCGGUUCUCUGCACUCUUCGUCAUAUACUUGUCUUCCAAUUUUUGCCACAACACACUUGCUAAUGUCUCCCGCAUCACAAAAUACUUCUGAGUUUUUGCAAGGCACAACCGAAUUGAAGAGCAAGCCCAUAAAUUUAAUUUCUCCCAUUCCGGCUUCGACAUAGCUUCCGGCUUCUCUCCCAAAGCGGCAAGUAGAUCUUGUUGAGCCAAUACAUCUUUGACCUCACAUUGCCACAUCCCGAAGUUGUUUGUGCCAUCAAAAUUUUCCACUUUGAACUUUGCAUUUUGCACCGUAGUUCUUGCAAACCCAGAGGUGCUUCCAAAAGGAUUCUCAUCUUGCCCGUCUGACAUCUUUGGCAACUAGACAGUACCCAAGAGCAACCAGUGCUCUGAUACCAAUUAUUGUGCUAGGAUAGCACCAAACCUUUUUGGAACCAACUCAAGCUAACCCACAAGAAAUAUAUCAAAUGAAAAUGCAAAGACAAAAAUAUUAAAGACACCAAGAUUUAACGAGGUUCCUCAACAGUCAGUGUAACUGGAGUACGUCCUCGGAGCAGUAGGAGCUCACCUAAUAAUCCACUAUCAACCAAAUGGGAGUUUACAAAGUGUUGGCAAUCUCACAACCCAAAUAACCCAAUACACCCAAUAGCUCUCACACACAGCACAUAAACAAAUAGAGAAAGAAAUAUAAUGAAUAAUUUCUUCUCUAUACAUGUAGCUCAAAGCUAUUACAACAAUAAUUAUUAUGAUGGAUGAUUGCUAACCAAAAAGAAGAGCACCUUCUUCUUCUUUUCUGCUCUCAGUUUUCUGCUCUCUGCAACUCUCUUUGCUCUCUCAAAGAUGGCCUACUAAAACAGAAAAAAUGGUGCACACUUACUCUAUCAUUCUCACUUCCGUAUCCUCACUUCAUCAAUACAAAAGCACCCAAUAAAAAACUCAAAAACAUCAUCAUGACCAUCAAUUUUUCUUUUCAACAAACAUAAUCAUGAUGCCUCCUCAUCAUGAUGUCUUUCACCUUUUUAAGCACAAACCAUCAACAUUAUUAACAAGAAGAAAAAGAAGGCUUCAGGAAAGCAUAGAAUUCGAAACCCAGUUACCAGUUCUCACCAGCAAAUGCAUAAGAUACAAUGCAGCACUUGCAAACGGAGACGACAGAAGCAGUUGCCGAUGACGGUUCUGAGGUUUGAGUGAGGAAAAACAGGUAUAUCCGAAUUUUAUACACAAAAUCGUUUCGAUUUUUGGUUAAAGAAUCGUUUCUGUCCAGCUAAUCUCAAUCAACUAUUAAUUAACACGAUUCUGUGCGGAUUAAGUGUAAUUAUCUUGAUUUUUUUGUGUGAUUAUCCUCUGAUUAUAGUCUGAAAAGUAGGAUACUCGUAUUAAGAUACGCGUAUCCCAUCAGUCAACAACGUAUCUGUUGACUUGGAUACGUAUCGGUCGCGUAUCCGUACGUAUCCCCACACGUAUCCGUAUCCCCGCGUAUCAGAUACGGGAUACGUUGGUCUUCCCGCGUGUCCAUGCAUCAUAGCUGACCGUGCAACACAAUAACAGACAUAGGCAUCCUCUGAGGCUGGGCGUGAAGGUUGCUACCUCUGUUUUGAGGGAGUGGGCGGAAGGCUUUGCCAGAGCCGCCUAGACGCGCCUCAGGAUUUUUUUUUUUUUCCUCAAACUCCCAAAACCUAAAUUUUUGGUAGGGUAAAUGCCUCAUAGUUCUUCCUUGCACUAUCGUUUCUCUGCCUUUUUUUAUUUUUUAUAUAAUGGAUGUAUGUGCUAUCUGCGUGCAUUGUUAUAUAUGUGCUCAUUGUACUUUUCAUCCUCUAUUUUAUUUAUACUCGAAGAUGAGCACACACUUUGUGUGUGAACAAUUUCAUUUUCUUUUUUGUUUUUGAUUAAGGAGUGUGUUUAGUUUUUAAAAUUUUUAAAAAGAGUAUGAGACAAUGAUGAUGAGAUCUCUUAAUAAGGGCAUCUUUUUAUUAAUAUUACAUACACCCCACCCUCGAUUUUUAAAAAUAGUUUUGAGUUUUUAUUUAAAAAAUUGUUUUUGGGUCUUAAUAUGUGUGUCCGUGGGGCCUCUUUCCUUUUUGGUCUCCCCUACCUGGCCUCCUUUCUUCUCUUUUCCUUUGGACCCGUGAGUCAUCUCCCUCCCUUUCUCUGCAACUCUCUCCUUGAAACACCCCAACCCCAUUUUAUUUAAAAAUUGUUUUAAAACCUUAAUUGGUGAGCCCGUGGGCCCACCUUGUUUUAUUUUUAUGUUUUCCGGUCUCUCCUUUCUCAGUUCUCUCUUCUCCCUCACCUCUUCCGCAACUCUCUCUCCCGUGUCUCUCUAUCGGACUUCUGUAGACAUCGAAAUUUCGUAAAUAAAUGUUGAUCGAUAAAUCAAAGUGUCAACGCUCAUGUAUUACAUAAAUUUUACACGUAGCGUGUGACUCAACGAAAAUUGAAAUGAGUUGGAAAAGUCAUCAAAUAGGACACGUGUCAACACCUGGCAGAAACGACUUAUUUCAUCUGGGAUAUUAUAUUCAAAAUUAGGCAUUGGAAAAUUCUAUAAAUACAAGCCCAUUUCAUUCAUUUAAAGGAACCCAAUUCAUAUUACACCUUGAAGCUCUGAAGCUCUGAAACUCCGAAGCUCUCAAGCAUCCAGGUUCUCGAAGAAUCAAGAAAGCCUUCUUCGUUCUUCGUUCAUCGUUCUUCCAAGAUCAAGCCCCGACGGCCCUUGAAGAAAGUGUUAUUCGUUCAUCGUUCUUCCAAGAUCAAGCCCCAACGGCCCUUUGGAUCAACAACGUCGACAAAUCCACACGUCCAAUCGUUCUUCAAGAUCAAGCCCAAAAGCCCUUGAAGAUCUGUUCAUCACUGUUUCUUCAAGAUCAAGCCCAAAAGCCCUUGAAGAUCCGUUCAUCACCGUUACUCAAGAUCAAGCCCCAACGGCUCCUUGAAGAUUCGCUCAAAUCCACCUUUAAAGAUCAAGCCCACGGCCCUUUGAAGAAACUUCCAACAGUUCAUCCAAGAUCAAGCCCCAACGGCCCUUGGAUCAACGAAACACCUACCAAUCAACACCUUACGGAGAUCGAAUCAGAGGAUCAAAAUUGAGAGAGAUUGUAACCCAAAAUCAUCAAAAUACUUAAUAUUUGUUUGUGCGCGUUGUUCUUGUCUCUUUCGUUUCAGGAAUUUUCCGUGUUCACAAAUUGGCACGCCCAGUGGGACACUCUGCCUCUCAUCUCUUUCUCCGUUCAAGAAAAUCAAAACACACUUCCAAAAUUAAUGGCAUCAAGGAAAGCUCAAACUGCUCCCGCAAUUGGUGUCACUUUGGGCAUCACGACUCGAAGCAUGGCAAGAGCUACUUUUGCCACCUCUUUCACCUCUGCAUCAACUCUGCCAAGGGAACAAAAACACCCAAGGCACGAGCCUUUGAUCACCUUAGCCUCACUAAGGGCACCAAGGGGGGAAAGCCCAAGGAAAUACUCCGAAUCCAUGCUCUCCGAUGCCGAUUCAAGCGACAGUUCAGCCAUGCAAGUCAUGACCAUUGGAGCAACUUCAAUUGAUGAGCAGCUGGCUCAAAUGAAUGAAGCAAUCGCAAGGCUAACCCGAACUGUGGAAGAAAAAGACUUGCAAAUUGCAGCACUAGUCAACCGACUGGAUGCGCAGGAUGCCGAUAAACCUGACCCAGAGGAUGAUCCACUAAAAGGAGGAGCUGGCGGAGACAAAGAACCUCUGGUGAAGAAAAUCGAUGGGAAGCCGGAGCCAGACCAAGCAGCGGCACUCAUGGGAUCUCUUUCUAUCCAGCAGCUGCAGGAGAUGAUCACCAACACCAUCAAGGCACAGUAUGAAGGGAGCUCACAUACCUCAUUGUUCUACUCGAAGCCCUAUUCCAAGAAGAUUGAUGCCCUAAGGAUGCCAAAGGGUUAUCAACCACCAAAGUUCAUGCAGUUUGAUGGAAAAGGAAACCCGAAACAGCACGUUGCCCACUUUGUUGAAACUUGCAACAACGCAGGAACCGAAGGGGACUACCUCGCCAAGCAGUUUGUGCGCUCGCUGAAAGGAAAUGCCUUUGAGUGGUACACGGACCUAGAGCCUGAGUCCAUCAACAGUUGGGAGCAAUUAGAGCGGGAAUUCCUCAACCGUUUCUACAGCACCCGCCGCACUGUGAGCAUGCUAGAGCUAACGAGCACAAAUCAGUGGAAGGACGAGCCAGUCAUUGACUACAUCAACAGGUGGCGCACUCUAAGCCUCGACUGUAAAGACAGGCUCUCGGAAACCUCUUCAAUCGAGAUGUGCAUCCAAGGCAUGCAAUGGGGUUUGCAAUACAUCAUUCAAGGCAUUAAACCACGGACCUUCGAGGAGUUGGCCACUCGCGCCCAUGACAUGGAGUUGAGCAUCGCCCAUCAUGGGAAGAAAGAACCGAUCGCCGACUACAAGAACGACAAAGCUCUUGGGACAAAGGUGGAAAAGGCUGCAUGGAAACCCACCAAGGAAGCGAUGACGGUCAACACAUCUCCCGUCAAAAUAUCCAUACGAGGCAAGGCGAUUCAAACCGAAGCUUUUCGUGAUCAAGAGACGCGUAGACGCACUUUGAAGGAGCUUGAGGAGAAGACUUAUCCAUUCCCCGACUCUGAUGUGGUUGCCAUGCUAGAUGACCUGUUGGACAAGAAGGUGAUCAGUUUGCCUGAGUGCAGACGGCCAGAAGAGAUGAAUCGUACUGACAGUCCAAGAUACUGUAAAUUCCACCGCUUCAUCAGUCAUCCGACAGAAAAGUGUUUCGUGCUGAAAGAUCUCAUCAUGAAGCUGGCUCAGAAAGGAAUCAUCGAGCUAGAUCUUGACGAAGUGGCGAAGUCAAACUAUACCACCUUCACUUCUGGCUCUUCCGACUCAAAGUUUUCACCUCAACCGCUGGGGGCAUCGUCCAAGACAAGCAAAAUUGAAGGAUGGACUCAAGUCAGUCACUCCUAAGAAAUUGCACAAGAAGCAUACGUCUCCUCCACAAGUCCGCCAAUCGGAAAUGGGGCAAAGCAGCUCUUGUCAACCUUCAAAGCAACGUGAAAGUGUUGAGGAUGAUGAAAUUACGACACAAAGAUCGUCUGUUGCCAUCACAAUGCGCGAUUUCUUUCCCGAAGACUUCUUCAAUCAUGCGGUCAAAGCUCCUUGCUAUGAAGAUUGUGAGGAACGCCUCUCCCGGAUUGCUUGACAAAAUUCACCCAAGCUCCUUGUCCGCACGAGCCUACACGAGCCUAAAUUGUAGGACACGAGGCUCCUCGCCUGCAUGAGCCUAAACUGCAUGGCACAACGCUCCUGGUCUGCACGAGCAUAAAAGGCAACACCCAAGCUCCUGGUCUGCACGAGCAUAAAAGGCAACACCAACGCUCCUUGCCUGCACGAGUUGAAACUGCAAACGGCACCACCAAAAGAAAAUACAAAAAAAAUAUAUCUAUGUAUUUGAACUACGUUUUGACUUGAUCUCUUUCUUUGGAAGGGUACGUAGGCAGCUUGAAUAUUCAAUUUCAAGUUCAGUCACAUCAAAAUCAAAAGAAUAAAUGUUUUAUUAAAGAAGGUCAAUUUCAUUACAAAUUUAUUUUGUUAAGAAAAUUUGCAAUUUUCUUUGUACAAAAUUAAACUACAGUUUCUUCGAAAAAAAAAAUAAAAUUGAAUACAUAUGUUAUUAUGUAUUUAGAGAAAAAAAAAGAAAAAAAAAGAGAUACAAUUCCUUCAAAAAAAAAUGAAUACAUAUGUUAUUUUAAAAAAAAAAGGGAAGAAAUAUAUAUAUACAGGCCCAGGCCCAAUUCUUGAAGCCUUGAUCUGCCGAGCCCACUCUCCUGGUCAUCAUCUUCUACUCCAAUACCAGCAGCAUUAACCUUAACAAAAGCACAGAAGGAUCUUCCAGUGCCUCGAAAUCCAUGACCAAAACAUAAAAAAUUCUCAAAGAUCCUCACCCGCACUAGGAAGAAGGAAUGAAGUGUGGCUCGACCACGGUAGCUUCCAAGAUGAUAAUGGCUUCCUUUACUGCCUUCCGCCCUCUAACUUGCGCUGCCUCUGCCUUCUAUCCUGCGCGCCUGGCUCCACACCCGCCGGACUUGAUCAAGUGGGUCCGUCGGGAAGGAGGGUUCGUGCACGAGGCCGUGAAGAUAGCUCAAGAUAGUUCAUUUGGUCUUAGAUUGGUGGCUUCCGAGGAAAUCCCAAAGGGUUCCGAACUAAUUGUUCUUCCGGAGCAAGUACUGUUGAGAUUUGGCCCAAUUGAAUCGGACGGUUGAGAUGAGGUCAAUUCUGUUCUCGACAAUUUGGGAAAUUGGGUUUGAAGCUUCUGCAAGAAAGAGAACGGGAUCCCUCUAGUGCCUAUACAUCAGUAACCUUCCUGAAACGUUCAAUAUACCCAUCUUCUUCCCCGGUGAGGACAUAAAGAAUUUGCAGUAUGCUCCAACGUCGGAGUAUCCACACUUACUUCUUCCAGAACCUCCCCGAUUUCUCGACAGAACCCGACUCGAUCGUGGGCUCAAAAUCUUACUUUUUCUCGGAGACCCACCUCGUUGCUCAGAAGACCGACGCCGUCUUCUCCAACCUCGGCACCGUCAGGGUCACCAGAUCCAUCCUCGCCACGUUAUUGCCGGUAAUAGGGAUGCCAAGAACGCUGUUUCUGAGAAAGUUUCCAGGUUGGUUUUGUGGGAUCAGGCAGUGUUUGCGCUAAGUGCUCGAUAUAAUGCCCAAGAGAUUGAUGGGAUUUUGGGUUUGACUGAGAAGAAGAAAGCCAAGUCUGGAGGCUUUGAAUCUCUAAAUCUAAAUCCCAAUGUCUUCAAUGCAAUCAAGCGCAGGGGCGUGUACCCGAUGAAAUGCAACCAGGACCGGUUCGACGUGGAGAGACACUCUCGCCGCCACGUCUUCAUCGGAAACUGCUACUCCGUGUCGCCGGAGAUCGUGACCCGGCGGUUUCCCCCUCUUCCUCUUCGAGUACCGUGGCGCCAAGCUUCUAAUCAUGGAGCAGUUCCCAGAGACCGCCGCCUUCAUCGUCUCGCCACUCGCCACCCCAUACAACAGAUCCGACAAGUAAAUUAUCCAGAUUCUCCGGGGAUCUGUACUGAUGCAUUCGACGCUUAUACUGAAAUCCACCGGUCAAACCGGCUGCGAUGCUAUGACAUUGACGGGUGUUGAUGGAGGUGCAGUAUUGUUGAUGCUUUGUUCACCCUUUUCCUUCGCGCUGUGGGCGAAGGAGACCCAGAAAGCCGGUUACUAGAGAGACGGAUCUCGUGGCAUCAACGACGAAGAGGAUGGCGAGGCGUGCAGGAAGAAGCUCAGGCUCUCCAAGGAUCAGUCAGCUAUCUCUGCAACAUCCAGCCCAACCCCUCUUCACCAAUAGAGCUCCACCUUCGAGAUGCUGGACGGUGGUGCCAACUCUGUCGCCGCGUUGUCUGAAUCUCCACCAGACCCCACCUGCUGCACAUGGUGCACACACCCGGAGCAAGUUGGGCUGCGCUCUCGGCAUCGACUCCUUCCACCGCAACGCCUGGCCUCCCUCGAGCUCGUCGCUAUGACCACCAUGAUAGCAAAGAACUUCAAACGACCGCCAUCAAACGACUAGCCGGUCGUGAAGCUCGAAGCACCAUCUUCUCCGUCCGCCUUCGUCCUUCCCUGCAAAUUCCCCAUCCCGUCAUCAGAAUUUAUACAAAAAUAAAUAUAAUAAUAAAAGCAAAGGGUGGUGGAGCAAGUGGUGCUAUCACCAUGUGAAAAAAAAAAAGGAGUGCAUCAGGCACCAUGUGCAAAGAAAAAAAAUAAUAAUAAUAAAUAAAUAAAUAAUAAAAGAAUAAAAAAUAUACAUAUAAUAAUUAUAAAGUGUUUUGGGUGCUGGAUCAACACCAUUCUGAAAAAAAAAUAUGUAUAUAAAAAUGUUUAAACUUUGGUGCAGCUGGCACCAUAAUUAAAGGCAAAAAAAUAUAUAUAUAUAAUAAAUUAAAAAAAAAUAUCUUUGGUGCAUCAGGCACCAUGUGACAAAAGAAAAAAAAAAGGGAUGGUUGUACAGCACCAAAAGAAAAAGAAAUAAUAUAUAUAGAUAUAUAUAUAUAUAUAUGUGUACAUAAUAUAUAUAUAGCAAAAAAAAAAUUGCAUUGAGAGAAAUAAAGUCCAUUUUAUUUAUUUUUCUGGAAAUUUUGCAUAAAUUUGCAUUAUACAUACCUUAAGAAAAAAAAAAUCAAAUCAAAUCAAAUUUACAAGAGGGGAUCUUCAAGGACGAUCAGGUGCCGCCUCACCACUCGGCAGAGCUCCAGAAAUGAGAGGCGCUGGAGGUUGACUGUUUGAAGCCAAACCACUCGGCGGAACUCCAGGAAGUAGAGGAGCCAAAUGUUGAUCAUUCGGAGUUUCACUACGCGGUACAGCCCCAGAAGACGAAGGCAAAUGUUGUUGGAACAAACCCACAAACCUCCGAUGAUCAAGUAAAAUCUGACCAUCAGAUUCCUGCAUCUGGUCAAUUUUCCUCUUCAUGUUUGUGGCAUAGUUGUGUGCGAGCUUAUGCAACUGUUUAUUCUCCUGCUUGAGCCUUCUAAUCUCCUGCUUGAGACUCAUCACUUCCGCCGCCAACGAUUCAACUUGACGGGUUCGAGCAAAUAGGCGUUGGGCCAUGUUGGACACAGAACCCGCACACUGCACACUAAGAGCCAGGGACUCCUUAACAGCCAACUCAUCAGACCGCCUGGAAAGUAGUCUGUUAUCUUUGGGAGUGACAAGGUUCCGGGCCACCACCGCAGCGGUCAUAUCAUUCUUCACCGAAUCCCCAACAGUAAGAGGACCAGUAGGGGAUAUGAAGGAUGGGCGCCAUAUGUUGUCUGGAGAAGGCGGGACUGCCUCUUCACCAAGAUUCAAGUCAAAACGACGAUCGGAGGGCCCUGACAUUUUCAAAGUGUUGAAGAAAGAAGAGGUCGGACGAAUCAAGAUCUUAGAAGUGCAAGAAGGGAGUUUUCACAAGUAAAAUUCAAGUGUGCUUUGAAACGAAUAGCGUGCCUCUAUAAAAAAUCAGCACUUGACGGGAUUUCAGAGAUCGAAGAGGCGAGCUCAGAAUUCAAAGAGGCCAUUCAAAAAUUGAAUAGGCCAUUCAAAAAUCGAAGAGGCAAGCUCAGAAAUCGGAGAAGCAUCUUGCUUUUCCAGACGCGUCGGCACCCGUCACACGCAAACUCAGCUUUGCGAAAAUCACGGGCAAUUUGUCGAAGCACCGAUCCCAGAUAUCGAAGAGGCGCCAGUCUUUUCAGCCACGUCAGCACCCAUCACACGCAAACUCAGCUUUGCGGAAAUCACGGGUAAUUUGUCGAAGCGCCGAUCCCAGUUAUCGAAGAGGCGCUAGUCUUUUUCAGCCGCGUCAACACCUGUCACAUGCACACUUAGCUUGGCGAAAAUUACGGACAAUUUUUUGAAGAUUUCUGAUAAAGAAGAAAGCACGUGAAGCCAUAUAGAUCAAUAACGCAUUGGUUGCCGACACGAGUGAAAGAAUAGUACAUCUACAGGUAUUAAGGGACCUCCUAUAACUGUCCACCUUCACCUUCCAUAGCAAGGCGGACAUACAGAACCUUUCUUCAUCUCCGAGAAUGCCUUCCCAACGAAGCAUCUCGAGUCACUUAGUGUUCCUUAUUCCUUGGGGUACCUCUGUAAGCCAAUAACUUCAAAGCAAAAGUAUCUCAUAUCACCAGGGUAGAAAGCAAGAGUAUCUCAUAUCAUGCGUUCUCCCUGUCGUUUCCUUUGUCCUUGCUCCUACCUACAAAGACAAGGAUAAAGAAAACAAUAUGCCGGAACUUCCACUCAAACUCGGGUAAGGAACCGACUGCUUGGAACCCUUCCCUGAUUGCCUUCCUAGCACUGCUCUCGAGUACUCGUCUCCCACUGAUGCUAUACUUCCAUAGAAGCUGUCACAUCUGCCUGGAGAACAGAUAAGGCAAGUGAAAAUGAUACCUUGCAGCAUGUGGAGACAACAUGCUGAAGAAACAAGCAGAGAAGAAUGCGGCCUGCACAGUCAACUCAACAGAAGGAGUCCGAGCUGAAGAACUCGAGAAGCUGCCAUAUCUGCCUGAAGAAACAAGCAGAGAAGAAUGCAGCAUGCUCAGUCAACUCGGCAGAAAAAGUCUGAGAUGAAAAACUCGUUUUGACCCUCAAAUUCUUGGGUCGACUUACUAGGCGCUGUGGGCUGCACGUGCUGAUUCACCACCCUUGAAUCAAAUCCUUAAAGAUCAAGUCACCAACGGGAAGAAGAGCUCAUCAACCUUGAAGAUCAUACCGUUGACCAAACUGCUCAGGUGUGAAUUAGAAAGAUUGAACAAAGCAACAAGUCGUCACCUUCACCUCGUGCCUGCUUGCCAUGUGUUCGAGUCAGCCUUCAACAAUCAAGCCUCAACGGCCCUUGAAGAAGCUUCCAGCCAAAUUCAAAAUCAAGCCUCGACGGCCAUUGAGGAAAUCACAAGUCCGAUUCAAGAUUAAGUGUCUACCACCCUUGAAUCAAAACCUAGUUCAAGAAUAAGUUGUGGAAAAUCAACAAUUGGAGGAAUCCAGAAAAUCCUCCAACCCAGUUCAAGAUCAAAGCUGUGGAAAGUCAACAAGCGCAACAAAAUACGUGCCGAUUCACCCACUACCAAAGCCAAAGAUCAUCUACCACAUGAAGCUCCUUGUGGUCCAAUUUCAACCUUCAAGAUCAAGCCUCGACGGCCCUUGAAGAAAUUUCAAACAACAAUUCAAGAUCAAGCCUCAACGGCCCUUGAAGAAAUCUCAAGCCCAAUUCAAGAUCAAGCCUCAACGGCCCUUGAAGAAAUCUCCAGCCCAAUUCAAGAUCAAGCCUCGACGGCCCUUGGAUCGACAUCUACAGUAAGGGACUUCAAAACCCAUCUCUUACACGUGACAAGCACAUGUAUACGACGUGCCUUGAAGUGGGGGCAUUUGUAGACAUCGAAAUUUCGUAAAUAAAUGUUGACCGAUAAAUCAAAGUGUCAACCCUCAUGUAUUACAUAAAUUUUACACGUAGCGUGUGACUCAACGAAAAUUGAAAUGAGUUGGAAAAGUCAUCAAAUAGGACACGUGUCAACACCUGGCAGAAACGACUUAUUUCAUCUGGGAUAUUAUAUUCAAAAUUAGGCAUUGGAAAAUUCUAUAAAUACAAGCCCAUUUCAUUCGUUUAAAGGAACCCAAUUCAUAUUACACCUUGAAGCUCUGAAGCUCUGAAACUCCGAAGCUCUCAAGCAUCCAGGUUCUCGAAGAAUCAAGAAAGCCUUCUUCGUUCUUCGUUCAUCGUUCUUCCAAGAUCAAGCCCCGACGGCCCUUAAAGAAAGUGUUCUUCGUUCAUCGUUCUUCCAAGAUCAAGCCCCAACGGCCCUUUGGAUCAACAACGUCGACAAAUCCACACGUCCAACCGUUCUUCAAGAUCAAGCCCAAAAGCCCUUGAAGAUCUGUUCAUCACUGUUUCUUCAAGAUCAAGCCCAAAAGCCCUUGAAGAUCCGUUCAUCACCGUUACUCAAGAUCAAGCCCCAACGGCUCCUUGAAGAUCCGCUCAAAUCCACCUUCAAAGAUCAAGCCCACGGCCCUUUGAAGAAACUUCCAACAGUUCAUCCAAGAUCAAGCCCCAACGGCCCUUGGAUCAACGAAACACCCACCAAUCAACACCUUACGGAGAUCGAAUCAGAGGAUCAAAAUUGAGAGAGAUUGUAACCCAAAAUCAUCAAAAUACUUAAUAUUUGUUUGUGCGCGUUGUUCUUGUCUCUUUCGUUUCAGGAAUUUUCCGUGUUCACAACUUCAUCUCUCUCCCUUGCUGCAACUCAUUUUCCCCGAGCAGCACUCAGCCACGCCAUCUGCUGAGGACAUCAUCAUCAAAACCUCUGCAGUUUUCUCUCUCCCGUUGUAGAAAGGAUGAUGAAAUCCCAGGAGCAUCCGGCGAGCACCGCCCCUUUCGAGGCUAUUUCCGGCCAACCCACGGCCAGUUGGCCUGCGUGUAAGAUAUCAAUCUCUUCGUCUCGCUGAGAACUACAACUUUUCUUUUUGUUUCACUCAAUUUCGUUGAGUAUUGAAGAAGUUAUAUUCAUUUGAAUCUUACCCAGUUUCCGGCGACCUCAUUGUCUUUCAAGACAUUUUCCGGCCAAACCACGGCGAGUUAGAUGUCGUGUGAGGUACCGUUCUCUUCGUCUCUUUAAGGGCUACAACUUUCGUUUUUGUUUCGCUUGAUUUCGUUGAGUAGUGAUAAAGUUAUGGCCGUUUAAAGUUGGGUGGUUUUCCGGCCGAUUUUCCGGCUUUCUCUCCCAUUGGGUCCGGCGACCCACCAAACCCAAGCCCUUUGGGCCUUCCCUGCCGAGCCCAACUCUUUUUAUUGUGAGGCCUUUGGGCCCGUGUGUGUGUUUUGGGCUAGGUGUGUGUGUGUGGGUUGUGUGGUGUGUGUGCGUGUGUUGUGCAUGUGUCAUGGGUGUGUGUGUGUGUAUGCAUGCCGUGUGUGUGUGUGUGUAGUUGGGGUGCGUGUGUGUGUUUGGACUUAGGCCCAAACCACAUUUCUUCAGCCCAAACCCUAAAACCCACUUCCCUAUUUAUUUAAACCCUAAAUCCUAAUCCGGAUUCAAGCCUAAAACCCGUUAGACCUAAUUUGACCGUUGACCCCCGGUCAACGUUGACUUUAGGGUUGACUUUUUGGGUUUUCGUCUGGGACCCUUCUUAAGGUAAUUCAACAUUUUGAAUCCGUUUCCAAUGUCCAUUUUCCCAAAUUCAAUUUCUAUUAUAUAGUUUUAUUUAUUGGACUCUUUAUGUGCUUAGGGGCAAUUAUUGUAACGUUUUCGUCUUCGCUAGUGGCGCAGCUUUUGGCAACUAAGUACUGUGAGUGGACCCCUUCUAAAAUUACAUGAUUUUAUAGUUUAAUUGCAUAAAUGAUUAGCAUGCCUACGAAUUUAUGAUUCGAUUUAUGUUAAGUAUGUUUAUUGAAUUUAUUGAAUUCGUCUCGUGUUUUUGGUGAGGAAUUAAAUGUUAGCCUAUUUUGAGCUAUAUUUUAAUAUAUCGUAUUUUCUAUAAAAACCAUGAUCUGGUAGACUAUCUGAUGGAUGACGAUAGGAUGCUAGAACAUGUUUUAGAAACCCCUUUUUAUAGUAUAGACGAUGGAUGACUUUAUACUAUGAAGUGGUUAUUUAUGAGAGGUGUAACUAUUUGUGCAUACCUAGAGGACACUAUACCGCCCGGGGCGAGGAUCUGGUGUUGGCAUUUAGGCCGGGAGAAAUAAUCCCUAGCUACGGGCUGAGGGACAUGGAGCAUGUAUUGGGCCGGGAGUUGGUAAUCUCUGGCUACGAGCGCAGAAACCACGGAGCAGGCAUUGGGCCGGGAGUUAUAUUUAUUCGAUGAUCUUUCUAGCAGCACACCGCGUUUACGAGACGAUAUAUUAUACGUUUACUGUUUUGAUUUCCGCAAUGUUGUUCCGCGAUAUGACUUUUGAGAUAUUUUUGGCAUGCUAGGAUUUUGAUUAAAUCCACCACUUAUUAUGCUAGUAGUUUUCAUUAUAUAAAUUAUAGGGGUUAGUAUCUUGAUAACUGUUUUAUUAUUAUUAUUAUAUAUAUGAACUUGGUCCACUCACCUUUGUUUUACGCCCCCAUUCAGGACUUAGAAUCAAGGCACCUAAUCUCGGCGUCAAGGCACUUCCGCAGCAGCAUCUCGUCCUUUCGGGGUAGGACCCACUCCUUUGUUCAUUCAAUCUUAUCUUAAUUCUUGUUAGUGACUAGGUUUAGUUGUAUGUUCUGAACACGUUCCUAAUUUAUUAAUUCAUCGUAUUUUAAAUUCAUAACCCUUAUUUAUUUCUUAUUCUUAGCUUUUGUAUCAAUUAAUGGCUUUCGUCACCCUCGGGUGUCAGCCAGCACGUGUCUAUCCUGGUAUUCAAGGAAUAUCAGGGUCGGGGCAUGUCACUCAUUCGGCCCGUUGAAAACUAAACCCAAUCAUUUAAAGCCUAACCCAAAACCCUUUUGGAAAUUUAGGCCUUUGGGCCUAGGACCUUUCGGCCCAAACUCUCCAACCCAACCCAAACCUUUUAUUUUUAUUUUGUUUAAAACCCCAAAGGAAUAGGGUCGGGCCUUCAAGCCCAGCCCAUUUGAGAACCCAAGUGAGACGAGCCUUUAGGCCAUUGAACCAGCCCAAGAUCCACGGGCUUUUAAGGCCAAACCUAAUAUAACCCAGCCCUAAAACCCAUUUUAAAUUAGAAAUCCUUAACCCAUUAACCCAUUAUCCUAAGCCUAACCUACCUAAACCUAAACCUAACCCAAGUCCAAACCCUAAGCCCUAAACCCAGUUGGAACCUUCCAAGGAUAUUCUUGGAAUCUUUCGAGGAAUAUUCUCUGGAAUAUUCUCGUGUUGACCUUUUUCGGAAAUUUAACCGGAACCCUUAUUAGGGUAAUUCGACAUCCUGAAUCCAUUUUCGAAGUCUAUUUUCCCAAAUUCAAUUGUUAUAAUAGAGUUUUAUUAAUUGGACAUUUUAUGUGCUUAGGGGCAAUUAUUUGUGACGAUUCCUUGUUCGCUAGUUUAUGUGGCUCUUCAGCGACGAAGUAUUUGUGAGUGGACCCCUUCUAAAAAUGCAUGUUUUAAUAGUAGAAAUGCAUACAAGAAAAGCAUGAUUUAAUGAUUAUGUUUUAUGAAAUGUUUUAUGAGAUAACAUGCUUAUUGAGGCUAGUUUGAAUUAUUAUUAUUCUUUCUAUAACCUGUGUUCUUUAUAGAAUAUCUGAUGGAUGACGAUAUAAUAUUUAGAACAUAUUUCGAACACCUCUUUAUAGUAUAGAUCAUGGAUGACUUUAUACUAUGAAGUUGCUUUUUAAAUAUAUGUAUGUUCAAUGAUUUUGUACUUACAUAGUAGUCCCUAUUCCGCUACGGGACGAGGGAUAGAUUCCAUCCCGGGUGAUGGUUACAGUGUUGGCAUAGGGCCUGAAGGGUUUUUCCUCUGGCAAUUAGCACAGGGACGGGGAGCUAGCACGAGGGCUGGGGGUGAUUUUCCUCUAGAAAUUGGCAUAGAGACAAGGAGCUGGCAUGGGGCCUAGAGGGAUAUUAGACAUUCACUAGUGAUUACGAUAUACAUGAGUUAUGAUUUGAGACAUUGCACGGCAUGUUAGGUUACGGAAAACCUAUUUUAUUUAUCAUGCUAUAUGUGUUUUCAUAAAACAUGAGGGUUAUUAUGUUGAUAACUGUUUUACUAUAUAUAUAUAUAUAUAUAUAUAUAUAUAUAUAUAUAUAUAUAUAUCAACUUGGUCCACUUAUGUUUGUUUUGCGCUCCCUUCAAGACUUAGAAUCGAGGCAUACAAUCCCAGCAUCAAGACACUUUCACAACGGCACCUUCGAGUCCUCCCGGUGUAGGACACAUUCUUUUAUUCCUUUAAUUUUAUAUUAUUUCUUUUAGUGUUCUAGUUAGUCGUAUGCUCUGAACACAUUUCUUUUGUGCACAUUAAUUAUAUUUAAAUUUCUUUAAUCUUAUUCAUAUUUUAGUCCUCAUGCAUUCAAUAAAUGGCUUUUGUCACCUUCGGGUGUCGGCCAACACAUGUAUAUCCUGGUAUUCGGGGAAUAUCGGGAUCGGGGCGUGUCGUACAUAAUUACCAUUUUACCCUUCUUAUGUAAAUAUUGUGUAUCAAAAGUGAGGGCAAAAUUGAAAAAAAUGGUAAAAAGUUGACAAUAAGGGUUCUCUUAAUAGAAUAGAUAUAUAUAAUAUAAUAUAUGUAUAUAUAUAUAUAUAUCUAUAUAUGUGUGUAUAUAUAUUUAUAAUAUAUGUGUGCUUAUGGUGAUUAUUGAUUAAUAAUUUUUUUUUUAAUAUAAUAUAUGUGUACGCUCAGUGUAUAUAUUAAAAAUUUUAGGUCCUAUGAGGCUUUGCCUCACUCCUAGGUUGGGCUAUCCCUCGGACGCCUUGACACGCCUCACGCUUUUAAUACAUUGAUAAAUAGACAAAAUAAAAUCACUUUUGAAUCUUUUAUUAACUUCAAAUCUACACCUAAAGAAGUGAAAAACACGGGCUAGACUGAGAGAGCUCAACAACAUGUCUCGUACUUGAAAGAAACUAGACUUUAUAAAAAAUUUAAGAAAAAUUAAUAAAGUAGUCCAACUUUUGGCCAUCCAUUAUUAGUAAUGUGUUGUCCAAUUACAGUUAGCGUGGUCGUAUUGAAGAAGACUAAUAAUAUUCAAAAAUUCCAAGCGUCAACUCCACGCUUGACGGGAAGACUAGAAACUGGCACCAUCAGUUCUUGAUUGAGUAGAAAAUCCCUUCAGAAAUUCCAAGCGUAAAGAAAGGAUUAGAAUCGCUCAUUGACGCAAAUAUAUUCAUUUUUAUUACUUCACUUGAUUAAACUGAAAUAUUAUGUUUAAUUUUAUCAAACAAAAACUUUUAAGAUUAUCCAUAUAUACACUAUACAAUUUACAAUUUACAAUCAAAAUUUAUCCCCUCCUGAGCAUGGGGACCAGAGCCUGCUGAGCAGCUCAUCUGAGCCUUUGAAAUUUGAUCAAACGGCUGUAAUUAUUAUAACUUUUAGAGGAACCUCCUGUUUGUAGCCGUUGAAUCAAAUUUCAAGAGUCCAGAUGAGCCGCUCAGUAGGCUCCGGUCCCCAUGCUCAGGAGGGGAUCCGGUUCCCACCUCAUGUACUUUCCUAUACUACCCUCACACCCCAAACUUUCUACAUACACCCCACAUUUUUUCACAUACAUUCAACAUUCUCUUAUUGUUCAUUCUCACCACACCCCCAAAUUUCAAGACUCUCGCUAAACAUGUAAAUGCUAAUUAUGAGGUCGACUACAUGACAUUCGAUUGUUGGUUUAUUUUACUGGUAGAGCACAAAUUCAGAAUUUGUAUCCUUCUCUGUUACUCCUUUAGAGUCAAUCUCACAAAAUUUUGACCCAAAAAAGAAUGAUAGGACAUGGGUGAAUUUUUUUUUUUUUUGUUUUUGUUUCAAAAUUAUAGUGGGUUCAAUUCUUUUUACUGUACAAAACUUAAAAGAAAGUAGUGCCGACUGCCAAGCUCACCACUUAGAGAAAAAAUUGUUUAUAUUAUAAUGGAUUUAUUCUUUUUUUUUUUUUUUUUUUGAGAAAUGGAAAAUUUGUUUUGGAGUAGUUAUAGAUUUUGACAACAAAAAAAUGUUGUAGUUCUUACAAAAUCCAUAAUGAAGUACGUCUGGUUACGAAUUCGUAACAUUUUUUUUAUUUUUAGGGUUUAGGUUUCUAUCAAUUUGGGGGCUUUUGCCAAUUAGGGGUUUUAGGGUUUGGGUUUAUGACAACCAAUUCAGAGUUAGGGUUCAUAUUAGUAAAUAAUUUGUGUAUUCAAUUUCUUUUAAAUUUUUUAGGGCUAAAUGAUCAUUCAUGUUAAGAUACAUGAGUGAUUUAAUAUAUAUUUAUUCAACAAUACAUGGAGUACUAAUAAAAAAACCCUUUACCAUUACCAUCGUCAAUCUUCAAAUACAAUUCUGUGGUCCAAUUACAGUUCCAUGUUUACUAUUCUACAAAUCAGGACAUGUAGUUAGCCGUGAUCAUAUUGAAGACUAACAAUGUUCAAAAAUUCCAAACGUCAACUCCACGAUUGACGGGACGACUAGACCGGGCCAGUCAACAAUGGCACCAUACAGCUCUUGAUUGAGUUGAAAAUCCUUUCAGAAAUUCCAAGCGUAAAGAAAGGUUAGAAACUCUGCACCUCCAAAGUUGUUACUAGCUCCCAUAUUUAUUUGUGACGCAUACAAACUGGCGAAAAAACAUAUCAUACUGCAACUCAAAACCAUGACAUUUCUUUAUAUGCUCCUCCUGCUGUCCGCAUUCCCAUUGAUCAAAACGACAUCUAUAUCUUCAAGAAAACAAGCAGAAUCGCUCGUCAAAUGGAAGGACGGCCUUUUUAAUUCAUCAUCAUCAUCAUUAUCGCCACCUUCGCUUCUCAAUUCAUGGUCCCUCACCAACCUCAACAGCCUCUGCAACUGGACUGCCAUUUCCUGCUCCAAAACCAGAACAGUCUCCAAAAUAGACCUCUCCAAUAUGCAAAUUAUCGGAUCACUGUUCCUUUUCGACUUUCCCUUAUUUCCAAGUCUCACCCACUUCAAUCUAAAUGGCAACAAUUUCGAAGGGCGUAUACCGCAUGCCAUUGGAAAUCUCUCCGGGCUCACAUCUUUGGACUUGGGCAACAACUUUUUUAAUCAUCAAAUUCCAUCGGAGAUUGACCAGGUAACAGAGCUUCAGUAUCUAAAUCUCCGCAACAACAGUCUCUCUGGUACCAUCCCUUAUCAACUGAGCAAUCUCCAAAAGGUAUGGUACAUGGACCUUGGAUUAAACUAUUUUUUCUCUGCUGAUCAAGAUUGGUCAGAAUUUGCAGGCAUGCCUUCAUUGACCUACCUUGAUAUGUCUACGCAAGUUGAUAAUCUAUAUCAUUCUGAAUUCCCAGAAUUUAUAUCUCAAUGCCGGAACUUGACGUUCCUUGACUUGUCUCAAAAUAAUUUGAUUGGCAAAAUUCCACCUUCGAUAGGCCAACUCAGAAAGCUCCAGUACCUUGAUCUUUCAUACAACUCCUUAGACUCUUCUAUCCCUUCUGAGCUUGGUCUUUGUACAAACCUCACCCACUUGUCCCUGGCUUCCAAUCAACUCAACGGGGAACUGCCUCUUUCCUUGUUCAAUCUGAACAACCUCGUCGAAUUGGGUUUAGCUGAUAACCGAAUCUCUGGCACGAUUCCGGACGAUAUAGGUUUGAUCUCUGGUCUUCAACGUAUUGACCUGAGUAUAAAUCUUCUGGAAGGUAAAAUUCCAUCCUCUGUAGGCCAACUCAGGGAGCUCCGGUACCUUGAUCUUUCAUUCAACUCCUUAAACUCAUCAAUCCCUUCUGAACUUGUUCUUUGUACAAACCUCACCUACUUGCACUUGUCUUCCAAUAAACUCAAUGGGGAACUGCCUCUUUCCUUGUCCAAUCUGAACAACCUCGUCCAAUUGGCUGUAGAUAAUAACCGAUUCUAUGGCACGAUUCCACCUUCGAUAGGCCAACUCAGGGAUCUCCAGUACCUUAAUCUUUCAUACAACUCCUUAAACUCUUCCAUCCCUUCUGAGCUUGGUCUUUGUACAAACCUCACCUACUUGUACUUGUCUUCCAAUAAACUCAAUGGGGAACUGCCUCUUUCCUUGUCCAAUCUGAACAACCUCGUCGAAUUGAGUUUAGCUAAUAACCGAUUCUCUGGCACGAUUCCGGACAAUAUAGGUUUGAUUUCUGGUCUUCAACAUAUUGACCUGAGUAUAAAUCUUCUGGAAGGGGAAAUUCCACUCUCUAUAGGCCAACUCAGGGAGCUCCAGUACCUUGGUCUUUCAUACAACUCCUUAAACUCUUCUAUCCCUUUUGAGCUUGGUCUUUGUACAAACCUCACCCACUUGUCCCUGGCUUCCAAUAAACUAAACGGGGAACUGCCUCUGUCCUUGUCCAAUCUGAACAACCUCGUCGAAUUGGGUUUAGAUAAUAAUCUAUUUACUGGUCAAAUCCUUCCUUCUCUGGUCUCCAAUUGGACUAAAAUGGUCUCUUUGCAACUUCAGUCCAAUGAACUCAGUGGGGAGAUUCCUCAGAAUCUAGGCAAAUUAUCUCAGCUUGAGCUGCUCGAUUUGUCGUACAACAACUUGAAAGGAGUGAUCCCACGGAUUCUAGGAUUAAGAUUAAAGGUUCUCAAUAUCUCACACAACCAUCUUUCAGGUCAAAUCCCAUCAUUUGUCGACAUGUUGCUUCUUCGUGACAUCAAUUUUUCUUAUAACAACUUGACUGGCCCAAUCCCAGAAGUUUUCGUAUGGGAACCCGAAAAUGCUUUUGUUGGAAACUCUGGCUUGUGUGGCUAUGUAGAGUGUGUAGACACUGUACCCCCUCGGCACAACAUACCCCCUCGGCACAACAGAAAUUUCAAAAAGAAUAACAAAAGAGUUCUAAUUGGUAUCCUUGUGCCUGUUUGUGGUUUAUUAAUGGUUACAACUGUCAUUGGUCUUAUAUUCCGUAAAAAAUCCAGUCUCGUUUUGAACAAAGUCAACACUUCUGAAAACUUUGAGAGAGUUUGGAGUCAAUGAUAUUGCAAGAGGAAGUAAAGUUUACGUUUGCGGAAGUUGUGAAGGCUGUAGAUGACUUUCAUGAGAAGUACUGCAUUGGGACAGGAGGGUUUGGAAGGGUUUACAAGGCAGAGCUGCAAUCAGGCCAAGUAGUUGCAGUUAAAAGGCUUAACAUGUCAGACUCUAAUGAUAUUCCAGCAAUCAAUCUCCAUAGCUUUCAGAAUGAAAUCCGAACUUUGACAAGCAUCCGGCACCGGAACAUCAUAAGGCUCUAUGGCUUCUGUUCAAGGAGGGGUUGCAUAUUCCUGCUUUAUGAAUACUUAGAGAGAGGAAGCCUGGGAAAAGCUUUGUAUGGAGUUGAAGGUGUUAAUGAACUUGUCUGGGCUACUAGAGUCAAAAUUGUGCAAGGACUUGCUCAUGCACUUUCUUACUUGCACCAUGAUUGCUCUCCACCAAUUGUGCACCGUGACAUAACCGUCAACAAUGUAUUGCUUGAGUCUGAUUUCGAGGUUCGUCUCUCAGAUUUCGGAAUAGCCAGGUUAUUGAGUACUGAUUCAUCCAACUGGACAAGUAUUGCUGGUUCAUUUGGCUACAUAGCACCAGGUAAUGUGAACUUAAUUUGUACAUUUAUGAUUCAUCUUUUUGCUUAUUGGGAUAUGUUUUAAGGUAGCCAGUUUUGUUUUUAUCAAUGUGCAGAGCUUGCAUACACUAUGCGAGUCACGGAUAAAUGUGAUGUAUAUAGCUUUGGAGUGGUGGCGCUCGAAGUCAUGAUGGGAAGGCACCCAGGGGAUAUGCUAGAGUCCCAGCUACAAGAAUCAUCAAAAUCAAGGAGGGACAAUGUAGAAUUGCUGCUGAAAGAUUUGUUAGACCAAAGGUUAGAGCCGCCAACCAAUGAAUCUGCAAAGGCAAUGGUGCUAGUAGUGACAAUGGCCUUGGCCUGUAUACGAACGCGUCCUGCGUCCAGACCCACGAUGUUAUUUGUGGCACAAAAACUGUCAGCUCAAACCCUGCCUUGCCUUCCCGAACCAUUUGGUAUGUUGACAAUCAACAAGCUAAUGGCACUAUAAAAAAUAAAACAAAAUAAAAUAGAAGACAAGGGCGAAUAGCUCAAACUUCCCUUUUGUAUCCCUGCCAUGCGCAGUUCCAUCUAAUUUCUCAUGUAAUACAUCUUCACUGCCGUAAUUACUCAUCUGUAUUAUUUGUCGAAUGUGGAUUAAUGUGUGAUGAAUUUUCUUAAUCGUAAUUGCAUUAUACUAAUAAUCCAUAAUGUGUCAAAAUAACUCCACAAUUAAUAAUAAAAAAUUGAAUUAUGGAUUUGUGUCCUUCCUCCCGUUCAAAGAGCUACCCUAAAAAAUUGAACCUACAUGGAUCAUUUUCGCCAUUGAUUAAUUUUGAAAGCAAACACACAUGGAACUACAGGAUGCAAUCUGAUCUUCCAGGCUUUCUUAACUUUUCCGCUAUGUCGAAUAUAGGUUUGUGCCUUUACUCUCUAAAUCUGCAACAGCCAGAACUGCUUUCACAUUCACACUACAGCACAAUAGAAGACACUUUGACACGACAAUCUGUUAAAUUAGCAAAUGGGGAAGUGGUGGAAUAACACCGUAGUAUUGUGAGCAAGUCUCGGGUAUUGAGGCCGCGGGAGAGGUCCCUGUGGCUUUGGAACCACCCACAUAAUGAUAAACAAGCGUGGCUGCUGUACCUCAAUCCAACAUUGACCGGGACAGAAAAAUCUAUAGCUUCUGUGCGUUAAACCAAAUCCCAUCAGGAGUUGUUCUCAUAGUCUUUGAAUUAUAAUUGUAACUCUUUUAGUUUAAUCGUUGUCCUACACGGAUUCAUCAAACCAAAAGCACAUAUGGAUUGGAGACAUGGGGAGACAGUAUGGUAUCUGCUUACUCGUUGUUAAAAGACUGACCAAAGACUGUUAUAAGAGUCCAGAUUUUCACUUUGUGGUUCAUUCAACUACGCAAUGAGAAACGUUCUACAAUCGAACUAACAAAGAGAUGCAUGCAGUGAGAAAUCAUCUUCGUUGAAUUCUGAAUCAACUCCCUCGUGUCCAUCAAACUCAGCAAGGCCCAUGAACAUCUCAAUUGGAACUUCUUUUGAUGCAAUAUCUACUUCUAUGCAUUCAUUAACCACACCAACUGGUUCACUGACAUGAACUUUCCAUUUUUGGGUUCUACAGCAUAAUAUUUGGUAUCUAAAGGUACAAUUUUCUCACAACCUUUGGUUGCCCUGCUCAACCUUGAAGGCAAAGUAUUAGUCCGCCAGACACCCUUGUAUUUUUGCUUCAAUUUCAUAAUCUUCGAUGCUGCUGACCCUGAAGACUAGUCUUACCCCCUGCCCUUCUUCGACAUCCAUGUUCCUAUCAUGGUGUUUUGACGGAAUUGAAUCUGGUGGAGUUCCAGAAGCUGUUAUACCUAUGCCCUUCCGAGGUGAUAUGGAAAAGUAAUUCCAGGUCUCUUCUGAAUUCCAAUCAGUUUUCUGCUCAAAUGGCCAGAAAAGCGGUUCAUCAGUAGUGGUUAGAUCUUCCAAAACUUCAGCCUCAGAAGCAUGUUCUGAUGAAAAAUCACACCCAGAUGAUAUUUCAGUUUGUUCUUCACUGGGUGUAGAAACACUAGAAGUAGAUGACUGAAAAUCAUGACUCCAACAACUACUUUUGUAAGAUGGGCUGGGAAAAUCAGAUAGAAAACAAUCCGACCUUGAAUCUGUACCUGGUGUCAGUUUGUAAUCAUCUCCAUCACGAUUCAACAACGAAAAGCGGCAACCUAUUCUCUCAAAAUCUAGAGGAGCUGAAGAGAAACCACAACUUGGGGAUCCUUCAGAGGAAUUUCCACAAGAAGACUCAGAACCCUCAGAAGAGCAUACAAAAUAUCUCUUGCAUUCUCAUCCUCCGAACAUUUGUGUAAAUUCUUAUUUACAUAGAUCAACAUCUUCUUCUGUAGAUUCGAAAAUAGCAGCCGCAGCCUUCUUGUUGUUAUCGCAUAAAGAACCUGUUUUCGUCACACAUAAUCUCACGUGUUUGUUUUUGAGCACUAAUUGAUCUUGGUCUGAAAACACUCACCUCAUCUACGGUCAAUGCUACACUUGUUCAUUGGUGACAAAAGAACAAACCCUCUUCUGGCCCUGGAUGUUGACACGGAUCUCAACAACAACAACAACAACAACAACAAAGCCUUUUCCCACUAAGUGGGGUCGGCUAUAUGAAUCCUAGAACGCCAUUGCGCUCGGUUUUGUGUCAUGUCCUCCGUUAGAUCCAAGUACUCUAAGUCUUUUCUUAGAGUCUCUUCCAAAGUUUUCCUAGGUCUUCCUCUACCCCUUCGGCCCUGAACCUCUGUCCCGUAGUCACAUCUUCGAACCGGAGCGUCAGUCGGCCUUCUUUGCACAUGUCCAAAUCACCGGAGCCGAUUUUCUCUCAUCUUUCCUACAAUUUCGGCUACUCCUACUUUACCUCGGAUAUCCUCAUUCCCAAUCUUAUCCUUUCUCGUGUGCCCACACAUCCCACGAAGCAUCCUCAUCUCCGCUACACCCAUUUUGUGUACGUGUUGAUGCUUCACCGCCCAACAUUCUGUGCCAUACAACAUCGCUGGCCUUAUUGCCGUCCUAUAUAAAAUUUUCCCUUGAGCUUCAGUGGCCUACGACGGUCACACAACACGCCGGAUGCACUCUUCAUCCAUCCAGCUCGUAUUCUAUGGUUGAGAUCUCCAUCUAAUUCUCCGUUCUCUUGCAAGAUAGAUCCUAGGUAGCGAAAACGGUCGCUUUUUGUGAUCUUCGCUAGAUUGCUCCGGUCAUUAGUGUGGAUAAGUAUAUAAAUGGAUAGAGAUAGGAAAGCAAACACAAGAUGUACGUGGUUCACCCAGAUUGGCUACGUCCACGGAAUAGAAGAGUUCUCAUUAAUUGUGAAGGGUUUACACAAGUACAUAGGUUCAAGCUCUCCUUUAGUGAGUACAAGUGAAUGAUUUAGUACAAAUGACAUUAGGAAAUAUUGUGGGAGAAUGAUCUCGUAAUCACGAAACUUCUAAGUAUCGGAGUGUGGUGUCGUCUUGACUUGCCUUAUCUGUCUCAUAGGUAGAUGUGGCAUCUUCUCUGGAAGUACUCUUCCUCCAUCCAGGGGUGGUAUCUUUAACUGGUGGAGAUGCACAAGGUAAUGUAUCAAUUUCACUUGAAGCUUACUUGUAGUUUCAGGCUUGGUCAAGCGCGAUACAAACCAUGUAGUAGGAGUCCCCCAAGUCGCCGAGCUAGGGGGUCUGCUGAAAGAGGUGACAGACAAGGUAAGCAAUCAGAGCUCCGACUGAUUGUUCACCUUCUCCCCAUCUUGCAGCAGCAUGAAGGAUAAAGAGAAGAAAAAUGAGAAGAGAUGAUAUGAGAUACUUUUGCUUUUGAAGAAGUAACUUUCCACAGGCUUAUUCUUGAACUGAGCUGGAGGGUUUUCUGGUUUCCUCCAGAGUAUAAGGCCGACUGAAGAAUUUGAGGGUCAAAACAAGUCCAUCAAAUCUAGAGUACGUUCCACCCUGCUGAUAUGGGAUACUUUUGCUUUUGACAGAGUAAUGGAUGUAUCGGCACGUGUGCUGUUACGCUUGUCUCCACAUGCUUCCUUGUAUCCUUCGCACUUGCCCUAUCUGUUCCUCAAGCAGAUGCGGAAUCUUCCCUGGAAACAUAAGAUGUUGAAGAUGAGUACUCGAGAGCAAUGCCAGGUAAGUAAUCAGGUAAGGGGUUCCAGGCAGUCAGUUCCUGGCUGGAAGCUUGAUUCCAAGUGCUGACUGAUUGCUCUCUUUCUCCUUGUCUUGCAGGUAAAAACAAGGCCAAAAGGAAAAGACAGGGAAAAAGCAUGAUAUGGGAUACUCUUGCUUUUAACCCUGAUGAUAUGAGAUAUUCUUGCUCUAGUAUAGCUUGUUUGCAGAGGUAUUAUCGGGGGGAAAGAAAGCUGAAUAUUUCGAAAGGCUUCGUUGGGAGUGCCCUCUCAGAUAUGAUGAAGGGUUGAGCAUUUUUGCAGGUCUGCCUGUCCGUUGGGGAUGGAGGUCGACAUAUAUAGGAGUCUCCCUAACAACAAGUAGUAAUGCUAUUCCUUUACCCUGCUUGGUCAUAGCACGGUAGUGGGAGCUGCCAGUUUCACAUGUUUUUAACUCUGUCAGAGCACUUUGAAAAAGUGGUCUGUGGUAUCUGGCUCUCGAGAUUCGGAGAACGAUGCCUCUUCGAUUUUUGAGAAAGCAAUCAUGCUGGGGGUCUGGACUCUCGAGAUUCGGAGAGCAGUGUCUCUUCGAUUUUUGAGGAAGUAAUCAUGUUGGGAGUCUGGCUCUCGAGAUUCGGAGGGCGGUGCCUCUUCGAUUUUGGAGCAAGCAAUCUUGUUGGGAGUGUUGUCUCGAAUGUGAGUAAAGGUUGGGCAUGUUUGCUAGUCUACCUUGCCACGAAGCACAAAGGUUGACACACAGGGACUUUCCAAUUAUCCAGCAAUGGUACUGUUCCUUUACCCUCUCUUCGAUUUUGAGAAAGUAGUCAUGUUGGGAGUCUGGCUCUCGAGAUUCGGAGGACGGUGCCUCUUCGAUUUUGGAGCAAGCAAUCUUGUUGGGAGUGUUUUCUCGAAUGUGAGUAAAGGUUGGGCAUGUUUGCUAGUCUACCUUGCCACGAAGCACAGAGGUUGACACACAGGGACUUUCCAAUUAUCCAGCAGUGGUACUGUUCCUUUACCCUUGUGGGUAAUAAUAUGGUAGCUAGACCUUCAAAAUUUAUGUGUCUAAACUUUGUUAGUGCUGUUUCUUUGCUAUUCUUUUACCUUUCUUGGUCAGAGCGAUGUAGUGGGAGCUGCAAGCUUCACGUGCUCAACUUUGGCAGAGAACUUUGGCAAAGUUAUCUGUGGUACCCAUGAGCUAUUGUUGCGUGUGGGAAGUGGGUGAUUGAACAGUAAGAUUCAUGUGCUUUCUACUUCACCAGAAGUCUUCGACAGAAUGCCCAUAAUUUCUGCAAAGCUGAGUGUGCGUGUGACAGGUGCUGACAAGGCUAGAAAAGUAGGUGCCUCUUCGAUUUCUGAGAUCGGCCCUCGUGGUCUCUGAGCAGCCCAGCUUUUGAGAAAGCGAGCGCCUCUUCGAUUGAUUCGGAGAACGAUGCCUCAUCGAUUUUUGAGAAAGCAAUCAUGCUGGGGGUCUGGCUCUCGAGAUUCGGGGAGCAGUGUCUCUUCGAUUUUUGAGAAAGUAAUCAUGUUGGGAGUCUGGCUCUCGAGAUUCGGAGGGCGGUGCCUCUUCGAUUUUGGAGCAAGCAAUCUUGUUGGGAGUGUUUUCUCGAAUGUGAGUAAAGGUUGGGCAUGUUUGCUAGUCUACCUUGCCACGAAGCACAGAGGUUGACACACAGGGACUUUCCAAUUAUCCAGCAAUGGUACUGUUCCUUUACCCUCUCUUCGAUUUUUAAGAAAGUAGUCAUGUUGGGAGUCUGGCUCUCGAGAUUCGGAGGACGGUGCCUCUUCGAUUUUGGAGCAAGCAAUCUUAUUGGGAGUGUUUUCUCGAAUGUGAGUAAAGGUUGGGCAUGUUUGCUAGUCUACCUUGCCACGAAGCACAGAGGUUGACACACAGGGACUUUCCAAUUAUCCAGCAGUGGUACUGUUCCUUUACCCUUGUGGGUAAUAAUAUGGUAGCUAGACCUUCAAAAUUUAUGGGUCUAAACUUUGUUAGUGCUGUUUCUUUGCUAUUCUUUUACCCUUCUUGGUCAGAGCGAUGUAGUGGGAGCUGCAAGCUUCACGUGCUCAACUUUGGCAGAGAACUUUGGCAAAGUUAUCUGUGGUACCCAUGAGCUAUUGUUGCGUGUGGGAAGUGGGUGAUUGAACAGUAAGAUUCAUGUGUUUUCUACUUCCCCAGAAGUCUUCGACAGAAUGCCCAUAAUUUCCGCAAAGCUGAGUGUGCGUGUGACAGGUGCUGACAAGGCUGGAAAAGUAGGUGCCUCUUCGAUUUCUGAGAUCGGCCCUCGUGGUCUCUAGGGAGCCCAGCUUUUGAGAAAGCGAGCGCCUCUUCGAUUUCUGAGAUCGGCCUUCGUGGUCUUUGAGCAGCCCAACUUUUGAGAAAGCAAACGCCUCUUCGAUUUCUGAGAUCAACCCUCGUGAUCUCUAAGCAGCCCAGCUUUUGAGAAAGCAAACGCCUCUUCGAUUUCUGAGCAGGCGCCUCUUCGAUUUCUGAAGCUCCGUCGAGUGCAGAUUUUUAUAGGGGCUGGCAUUAAGUUCCAAAGCACACUUGAAUCUCCACCAGUAGUAGAAGCUUCAUUCUUGCACUUCUAAGAUCUUGAUUUGUCCGACCUCUUCUCUCUUCAACACCUUUGAAAAUGUCUGGCCCCUCCGACCGUCGUUUUGACUUGAACCUUGUUGAAGAGGCAGCCCCGCCUUCUCCAGACAACAUAUGGCGCCCAUCCUUCGUCUCCCCUACUGGUCCUCUUACCGUUGGGGAUUCCGUGAUGAAGAAUGAUAUGACCGCUGCGGUGGUGGCCAGGAACCUUCUCACUCCCAAAGAUAACAGACUACUUUCCAAACGGUCUGAUGAGUUAGCUGUUAAGGAUUCGCUGGCUCUCAGUGUUCAGUGUGCAGGUUCUGUGUCUAAUAUGGCCCAACGCCUAUUUGCUCGAACCCGCCAAGUUGAAUCAUUGGCGGCUGAAGUGAUGAGUCUCAAACAGGAGAUUAGAGGGCUCAAGCAUGAGAAUAAACAGUUGCACCGGCUCGCACAUGACUAUGCUACAAACAUGAAGAGGAAGCUUGACCAGAUGAAGGAAACUGAUGGUCAGGUUUUACUUGAUCAUCAGAGAUUUUGUGGGUUUGUUCCAAAGGCAUUUAUUGCCUUCGUCUUCUGGGGCUGUACCGCGUAAUGAAGCUCCAAAUGAUCAACCUCUGAUGCCUCCUCCUUCUAGGGUUCUGUCCAGUACUGAGGCUCCAAAUGAUCCCCCUCCGGUGCCUUCUCUUUCUGGGGCUCUACCGACUGCUGAGACUUCUCCUAAGCAACCUUUGUGAAGGCUCCCUCUUGUGUGUUUAUUUUGACUCAUGUAUAUGUACAUAUUUGUAGCUUAUCGGGGAUAUCAAUAAAUAAGCUUUCCUUCAUUUCAACGUAUUGUGUUAAAUACACCAAAGCCUUCUUCGCUAAGUUCUUUGAAUUUUCUUUUGUUGAAGCUUGUAUGUUGAAGCUUUCUGAGUGGAGCAUGUAGGUUGGGGUAGUGUUCCCUUAAUUUCCCGAGUGAGGAAAACUUCUCGGUUGGAGACUUGGAAAAUCCAAGUCACUGAGUGGGAUCGGCUAUAUGAAUCUUAGAACGCCAUUGUGCUCGAUCCUGUGUCAUGUCCUUCGUUAGAUCCAAGUACUCUAAGUCUUUUCUUAGAGUCUCUUCCAAAGUUUUCCUAGGUCUUCCUCUACCCCUUCGGCCCUGAACCUCUGUCCCAUAGUCGCAUCUUCUAAUCGGAGCGUCAGUAGGCCUUCUUUGCACAUGUCCAAACCACCGUAACCGAUUUUCUCUCAUCUUUCCUUCAAUUUCGGCUACUCCUACUUUACCCCGGAUAUCCUCAUUCCUAAUCUUAUCCUUUCUCGUGUGCCCACACAUCCAACGAAGCAUCCUCAUCUCCGCUACACCCAUUUUGUGUACGUGUUGAUGUUUCACCGCCCAACAUUCUGUGCCAUACAGCAUCGCCGGCCUUAUUGCCGUCCUAUAAAAUUUUCCCUUGAGCUUCAGUGGCAUACGGCGGUCACACAACACGCCGGAUGCACUCUUCCACUUCAUCCAUCCAGCUUGUAUUCUAUGGUUGAGAUCUCCAUCUAAUUCUCCGUUCUUUUGCAAGAUAGAUCCUAGGUAACGAAAACGGUCGCUCUUUGGUAUUUCUUGAUCUCCGAUCCUCACCCCUAACUCGUUUUGGCCUCCAUUUGCACUGAACUUGCACUCCAUAUAUUCUGUCUUUGAUCGGCUUAGGCGAAGACCUUUAGAUUCCAACACUUCUCUCCAAAGGUUAAGCUUUGCAUUUACCCCUUCCUGAGUUUCAUCUAUCAACACUAUAUCGUCUGCGAAAAGCAUACACCAAGGAAUAUCAUCUUGAAUAUGUCCUGUUAACUCAUCCAUUACCAACGCAAAAAGGUAAGGACUUAAGGAUGAGCCUUGAUGUAAUCCUACAGUUAUGGGAAAGCUUUCGGUUUGUCCUUCAUGAGUUCUUACGGCAGUCUUUGCUCCUUCAUACAUAUCCUUUAUAGCUUGGAUAUAUGCUACUCGUACUCCUUUCUUCUCUAAAAUCCUCCAAAGAAUGUCUCUUGGGACCCUAUCAUACGCUUUUUCCAAAUCUAUAAAGACCAUGUGUAAAUCCUUUUUCCCAUCUCUAUAUCUUUCCAUCAAUCUUCGUAAGAGAUAGAUUGCCUCCAUGGUUGAGCGCCCUGGCAUGAACCCGAAUUGGUUGUCCGAAACCCGUGUCUCUUGCCUCAAUCUAUGCUCAAUGACUCUCUCCCAGAGCUUCAUUGUAUGACUCAUUAGCUUAAUACCCCUAUAGUUCAUGCAAUUUUGUACGUCGCCCUUAUUCUUGUAGAUAGGCACCAAAGUGCUCGUUCGCCACUCAUUUGGCAUCUUCUUCGUUUUCAAAAUCCUAUUGAAAAGGUCAGUGAGCCAUGUUAUACCUGUCUCUCCCAAAACUUUCCACACUUCGAUUGGUAUAUCGUCUGGGCCUAUUGCUUUUCUAUGCUUCAUCUUCUUCAAAGCUACAACCACUUCUUCCUUCCGGAUUCGACGAUAAAAAGAGUAGUUUCUACACUCUUCUGAGUUACUCAACUCCCCUAAAGAAGCACUCCUUUCAUGUCCUUCAUUGAAAAGAUUAUGAAAAUAACCUCUCCAUCUGUCUUUAACCGCGUUCUCUGUAGCAAGAACCUUUCCAUCCUCAUCCUUGAUGCACCUCACUUGGUUUAGGUCCCUUGUCUUCUUUUCCCUUGCUCUAGCUAGUUUAUAGAUAUCCAACUCUCCUUCUUUGGUAUCUAGUCGUUUAUACAUAUCGUCGUAAGCCGCUAACUUAGCUUCUCUGACAGCUUUCUUCGCCUCUUGCUUCGCUUUUCUAUACCUUUCACCAUUUUCAUCGGUCCUCUCCUUGUAUAAGGCUUUACAACAUUCCUUCUUAGCCUUCACCUUUGUUUGUACCUCCUCAUUCCACCACCAAGAUUCCUUUUGGUGUGGGGCAAAGCCCUUGGACUCUCCUAAUACCUCUUUUGCUACUUUUCGGAUACAACUAGCCAUGGAAUCCCACAUUUGGCUAGCUUCGCCCUCUAUAUCCCACACACAUUGGGUGAUUACCUUCUCUUUGAAAAUGGCUUGUUUUUCUUCUUUUAGAUUCCACCAUCUAGUUCUUGGGCACUUCCAAGUCUUGUUCUUUUGUCUUACUCUUUUGAUAUGUACAUCCAUCACCAACAAGCGAUGUUGAUUAGCCACGCUCUCUCCUGGUAUAACUUUGCAAUCCUUACAAGUUAUACGAUCCCCUUUCCUCAUUAGAAUGAUGCUGCCCAGGAUCGAACUGGGGACCUUCAGUGUGUAAAACUGACGUGAUAACCACUCACACUCAUUGAGACCAGUAUGCUAAAUAAGUCCCGGGCAAAAGUUGAUCAAAUUUUCAAGUUAACUAAUAGAAAUCGAAAUCCAACUAAUGGGGGAGGGAGGUUCGAACUUAGGGUCUCCUCCAACACUGGGAGGAGCAGUAUCAUUAGACUAAUUGUUUUAAUUAGUUGAAAUGUUAGUUGAAAUUCGGAAAUGUUUUAAUUAUAUUUAGGUUGAUUUUAUCACAGAUUUGUACUCUUAAUUAUGUUUUCAGUAUCUGAUUUAAUCCUUUUUUUCUUAUUUUUUAUCCUUAUUUCUCUUUCUUUUGCUUGGUGUCCAUGCAAAUUGUUUUUGUGUUUUUAUAUUUUAUGUUUUUAGAUGUUCUUUUGACAAUCGUGUCAUGAUUCAUUUGCAUUUAUGUUGUGCGUUUACUAAAAUAUAUUGGAUAUAUUAUUUCUGCUACAAUCGAAUUGACUGUUUUAUCUGCAAACCAUAGGAAACUGUCCAAAAAAACACAUCUGAAGGAGUGCUCGAUUGACUUUUUCGUUCAUGUUGAGGUAAAACAAUAAAAUAAUUUUCUGAUAUAAAAAAAUACACCUGGAGGAGUGCUAGAUUGACUUUUUUUGUUCAUCUGUUGUUCUUAGCACUGUCUCGAUCUCAUCUGCAACAGAGGCCGCAGCAGCAGCAGCAGGAUCAGGCAGGAGAUCAAACUCUCCAAUCAAGGCCUCCAAAUCAAAUCUCAAAGAUCAUCAUCAUCGUUUCUCUCACUGCCUCUCUAUCUGACCCUGCAGUGCAGCAGGGCAGACGCCUAACAAACUGCAAAACCACAAUCAACACUUUGAAGAACUCUUCAAAAUGAGGUAAUUUUAAUACCCUCCCCCACUUCAUACUGAAAACCGCAUACAUAUACAACAUGAAACAACAAAUAUGCCACAAUUUGAAGCAUGAAAAUGCAAGCAUACCUUGCCUGCAGAUAAUAUACUAUCGAAGGGCGGAACAGAACAAGGUAGGUGCAUUGGCCCUCCUUGCAAUAUAUACGUCUUGACUGUACAUAAAUUUGAAGGUCAAUAAUGUCGAAUAAGAAACUAAAAUCACAACCUAUGAGUGCGAUGUUCACCAUCAUGGUGUACUCUCUUAAUACCUGACGUGGAAAACAGGAAAUUGAUGACCCCUUGCAAAUUUUGAAUAUUUAGAUAAUUUAUAUUACUUAUUUAUCUUUGUGUGUCUCUAUGCAUGCCAAACGAUAACAAACAUAAAAAUAAUAGCAGACACUUCAGAAAUGCAGUUGAAGGCAUUUCUUUCAAAUGAUCAAAAUGAC
rnacentral:lncRNA from 1 species